rnacentral:lncRNA from 1 species
UGUGUCAUCAAAUUUGAACCCUCUGCUGAUGGAGGUUCAAUCUGCAAAACCACUAACACAUACUACCCCAAAGGUGGUGCUCAGAUCGGUGAGGAACACCUCAAGGGAGGAAAAGAGAUGGGUUUGGGAAUGGUUAAGGCUGUUGAGGCUUACCUCCAUGCAAAUCCUACUGCCUACAACUAAUUAUAAUGAAUGCUACUGAAGGACUCUUCGACAUAUUUUCUUCAAGAUUGAAGUACACACUGAGGGUGUGUUUCCUUUUUUGCUUGGUUUGCUUUAAGCUGUUUGGUUAAGUUAAAAACAAAAUUGAAUCAUAGAGAGAACAAAAAAAAUAUAGUGUUUCUUAUGGAGAAAAAAAUGGAGCUGAUGCCUAAAAUCUCACAUGGAUCCAACAAGGAUAUGCUCAAAGUUGGAAAAAUGUGCUAUAAUUAUGAUUACUCCUUUAUGAAAUAAAGCUGAAAGCAGCUCAAUUUCUUUUUGUUUUCCAUAUUAUUCAAUUUCGUUGUCGAUUUUUGAUAGUUGUAUUUUUUUUAUUGCUUUAAUAAGGGCUAUGAUUGGAUAUCCUGUUAUGCCAUUGGCUGUCGAUGCUAAACCUGAUAAAUUAGAUGGAUCAUCCAAAUAAAGACAAAAUUGGCUAUGUAAACAUUGGUGAGGGACUAUUUCAGCUUAAGAAAAAUAGUUGAGGGACUAAAUUGGCUUAUAAUAAAAUUAGGGACUACUUCAGCUUUGUAAAAAUAGUUGAGAGACUAAAUUGACUCAUAAAAAGUUUAGGGACUAUUUUGACAUUAACGAAAUAGUUUUGAGACUAUAAACAUUAGGUCACAAUGUUGAAAUAUCAAAACCCAUGUUUGGGACCAAAACUCAUAGAACUUCUUCACGUCGCUAGCGAAAUUUGAUUCUGAAGUAAUGCUAAUUUUAUUUAUUAUUUGUUUCCUUGCUGGUCUUCUGUCUUUUUGGUUACAAUAUUAAAAUGUAUCCAUAAUUUUCAAUUCCAAAAGUGUUGAAUAUUUAAACGAAUUCUAGAAAGGGCACUGAGAGUCAAAAUCUUAUUCAAACAGCCAGCCAUCUCAGAGUACAUAUUUUUUUAUUAUCAGGUUCAAAAUGUAUCUAUUGCAAUUUUUGAAUGAUCAGCCAUGACUAAGAGAAUAAAAUAAUUCACUUGCUGUUUUUAGAUGUGAAUUCAUGACUGUCAGUAGUCUAUAAAUACACUUAUUGCUCACCACUCUUUGCACCGCAAAAUCUUUUCAAGAUCUAUCAAACCCUCCUGUUCUUGAUCUUUGUCCAUUUGUGAAAAAGCAAAUUAAAGCAUCAUGGCCUCUAUCACUUGUAGUGCUGAGAUGACCUCCCCAAUCCCUCCUGCAAGGUUGUUCAAGGCCGCCAUCCUUGAUGACCACCUUCUUCCCAAGAUCAUGCCACAGGCUAUUAAGAGUGGAAAUCCUUGAAGGAGAUGGUGGAGUUUGAACCAUUAAGUUGAGCACAUUUGGUGAAGGUUAGCAGUUAUAUUAAAUGUAGAACCCAAAUUUUAAGGAUCUAAUAAUAAUCAAUGCGUGCAGGGUUACAGAAUUGGAGGGAUAAAAUAAAUACUCAAAAUAUACGUGGAAGAAAAGAAAAUAAUAAAUUCAACUCAUAAUAUUAUUGAAAUUUCAAACAAUGAAGAAAAUCAUACCACAAUAAAUUCAGCUGGUUCUAAUAAUAAUCAAAGCAUACAAGGUUGCAGAAUUAAAAGGAUAAAACAAACACUCAAAAUAUAUGUGGGAGAGAAGAAAAUAAUAAAUUCAACACACAAUAUUACUGAAAUCUCAAACAAUGAAAAAAGUCACACCAUAAUAGAAAACCUUGCUAAUUCUUCUAGAUUCUUUCUCUUGAGAAACCAACCUAAAUAAUGUCCUAUUUAUAAUCUACCAAACUUGUUAGGAAAGAAACCACUUGCAUAAGAAAUUACCAAAUAAAACAGAAAUUCCUAAAUCACACAACUACUAAAAACAUAACUCAAAUAAAACUAAAAAUAAAUAAAUAUUUCUUGGCUUAGUUUAAUUUGUCAACAUUGCCUCCCUUAAACCAAACUAUCCAUUGAGAUAGGUUCAACACCAUCUCGAGCAAUAAUUUCUAUGUUGUAGUACACUUGACAUGAAACUCUAACUUGUUACCAGUUAUUAAUUUCAUUUUUACAUGUAACAAUGGACGCACUAUGUAUUUUGUAAAAAAUUUCUCAGCAAUUUCUUCUUGAUCAAAGUACUCACUUAUACAAACACAUUCAUCACCAGAAUCACCAUAUUUACCACCAAUGUAAGUGCCUAAAAAUACAAAAUCAUAGAUUGCUUUCUGGCUAAAAUUAUCAUCACCAAAUAAUUCAAAAUAACCACUACUACAAUCAUCCAAAAUUUUCAUACUGUCAGUCAACUCUUUUGGAGUAAAGUAUUUUUCAACUCCGAUGACAUCCAUAUCUAUCAAAUCAAACAUUCUCCCAUGACUUUGAAGAGAGUCCGCAACCAACGAAUUUUUCAACAACAAUUUCAUGUUCUCUUCUCUUAUCAAAUCAAAAUUUUCUUCUUCUUUUGUCAAAUUACCAUUUUAUUUUUUUCAACAAAUUCAUUACUUCUAAUUUCUCCAAACAAGGUACGCAAAUCAAAACUAUCAAUUGAUUCAAAAUUUUCAAUAUCACCCAUAUUAUCAACAAAUCUAUCAUUUUUAAAAUCCACAAACUAAUUCCAACAACUAGACUUCGGUUUGAAAGCAUAAUUUCUCUCAAUCGUGUGCAAAACAUAGUAAAUAUUCUUCCAAAAUCUCUAAAGUAUUUUAGUACAACCAAUAAAGGUUUUAUAAAUACUUUUUGCCAUUAAUUUAUGCAUCACUUGAAAGAAUAAUUGUGCCUUUUUCUUAAAAACAUGUUUUGCCAACUUACUUGCGUCAACCCAACAAAGAAUAUCAUCCAAAUUACAUUGUUUGACAUAUUUUUCCACUGUUAAAAUCCAACCAAAUAUGUAUGUAUAUUUGUGCUUAUAGGAGUCAAUAUGAAAAAUUUUUCACCGUCAAUCAGAUCUUUAUAAUAUUCCAUUAUUUAACAAUUUGUAUACCUGAAUAAAUUUUUUUCCUCCAUCCUGUCAUGUUUUCUUGGCCUCCCUGGUUGACUAACCAAAUUAUUGUUGUAUGUAUACCCAUGCUCGUCAAACCUCAUUCGUGUACACUCGUAAGGAGUGGUUCUGAGCUUAUUGUGAAUGCUCAGUACCAAGAAGUAGAAGAGAGAAUGCAUAAGAGAGAAUUAACUUGGCUAAAGAAUUAGGAAACAAUUGAGGGAUUUUUUAAGAAAUUAAUUCUCCAACUGCCACUUUUGGAAAUUUUCUAUCAACAACUAGUUACCAAAACACUAGCACAUAGUAAGAAAUCUGGAUAAUUUCAGAAACCUCCCUUGAGGCUUUUAAUAAUCUCGAGAAGCUCCCCUCAAUUUUUAAAAUUGCACGUACCAUCCCUAUUGGUGCAAAAGUACUCUACUACCCCUAAUAGGAUACUCAAAAGACUUUUUUUAUGGGAAAAAAGAAGGCCAGAAAUCCAAGCGAAAACAAAAAAAAUCAAUUUAUUUUCUCUUUUAGCCUUUUACGCUUUUGCCUUCUACCUUUGCUCACUUUCCCAUGCCAAUCUUCCUAUAACCACUUUCCCAAUCCCCUUUCCCCAACUUUUCUUCUCUACUUCAAGACCAAUUUUUGUCCAUCAAUCCUGGCUUGUGCUUUGUUCCAUUCCCUUCCCUUCUCCUUCUUUGAUUUCCCCUAUAUCUCCCCUUCUCUUUGCAAAAGUGACUAGGCUCAUCUCUCUCCUUUUUUUCCCCAUAUUUUAAGUGUAGUGGGUUUGAUUAUUUUGCAUCUAUUUUAUUUGAUUUUGGUUGAUUAUGGGUGAUAAAACUUGGUGAUGUCACAUAUUAAAAGUUUGAUAGAUGGAUAUUGGGCUUUAGACAAUGAUUUGCUGAAAAAAAUGGCCGCAAUGAGAGGAAGAGGCAAAGGGAUUUGAGUGUGGGGUUGAUUGUUGAUGAAUUGUUGUUUUGGAAAAAAUUUGAGGUUGAGUUUUAUCAAAUUUGGUAGCAAGUGGCGAGAUUUGUUCAGGUUGCGGGAAAUAAAUUGGUUUGUGGUUUCUUGGGCACCCACAGUCGUUGGAAUUGGUUUUGAUUCAAAUUAGGGUGGUUACUUGAUUUUCCUAAUAGUGUUGCUUAAAAGCACACGAUCAUCAAAAUUCCUUAUUUUUAUCUUUUAUUUUUUUUUUGUAGAAAAGAUUUCAUGACUUUCGUGAUAGUCUAAUUUGGAAGAAGGCAAUCAAGGGAUGCAAUCAACAUUUAGCAAAAGCUCUUGUUCUUUUCUUUGUAAUUUUUAGGGUAAAAAGGGUUGUUUAGGGUAUUUGAAGGAAAUGAUAGUCUAUUGGGUCUAUUUUGAAGCAUAAAUAGUGAACGUAAGGGAGGUUGGUGUUAUUUCUGAAACCUAAGGGAAUUGUCUGAAAUUGUCCGAGACCUCGGAGGAGGUUUUCAAAAUUAUCCGUAAGAAAUCAAAUGCGAAACUUGAUUCGUACACGCACACACGACACCACACCACGUCACGCGUGUGUUGAGGACUGAUGUCCGUAGCCAACGACAAGCAGGUUUUCAAUUUUUUUUUCCUUUCCUGGAUUCAGAGAUGGUGUCAGCUUCUAUUAUUGGUGAGCAGGAGGAAAUCCACAAUAUACAGUACACAUCACCCAUAUUCUUUUUAAUUGAACAAUGUAUGAAAUUAUGGUGAUUCGAAAUUAAAUUAUAUGUUUAUUGGACAACGAAUCCAAAAUAAGAGUUGGAAAUGUAUUGUGACAACAAUUGUUAACUUUGGCCACAAAUGAUCAAAAUAAAUAUUUAAGGUUUAAUAUGACAUUAUGGGUUCAAAAUAUAGUUACUUGUUAUGAAACAACUAAAAGUGCGGAUGCCCAUUUGUAUUCUCAAAAGGAUCAAUUCAUAAUUCAUUGCUCCCAAGAUGAUUAAUUCAUAAUUCAUUGCUACAUUAUGUAAAGAAAUUACAUUGGAUGAAUGGUUUCAAUCCAUAAGAGCUAUUCAUGUAUUGGAUGAACCGUUUCAUAUGGCUAUUCAUGUUCUUGUAGUAAUGAGUGUUUAAUAGAAUUGAUGUACCUUUAAUUUUAUAGUACCUAUACAUAGAGGUACCUGGCACCUCUUCGGUGUACUUUUUGAUUAGUUGGAAUAAUAAGAAAAUCAUUCUCCAUUUCUGUACUCUUUCACUAAUAUUUCAAUUCCUAUUAUAGUAGUUCAUUUUUUUUUAGUUUUACAACACGUUAUCAGUACGAGUCUCUCCUUUUAAACAAAAAGGUGAAAACGGAGCCUCUACCUUAAAAAAAAAGUGAAACACGAGAUUUUGCCGAAAUUCUGCCGUAUUUUUCCAGUAACUUCUGUCUACUUAUUGAGAAAUGGAUGCCAAAUAUUUGGGAUUAAAUGAUGGUGAUGAUGACAUUUGUCUCAUUGAUAGUGCUACUACGCGCACUAUAUUGAAAAAUAAAAAAAUUUUCUUGUAUGAAAAUGGGAGAGACAAAUGUUAAUAUCAUAAGUGGUAGUGCAAAAUUGAUUGAAAGAUUCGGAAGAGCCACUCUAUUUCUUCCUAAAGGGACUAAAAUUGUCGUAAAUAAUGCACUAUUGUCUCCCAAGUCUCGGAGAAAUUUAUUGAGUUUUAAAGAUAUCCGCAAAAACGGAUAUCAUAUUGGGACAAUGAUUGAGACAAAUGGAAAAUUUUUAUUAAUCACAAGUAUCAUUUCUAGACAGAAAUACGUAGUAGAAAAAUUACCUUCUUUUUCUUUUGGCUUAUAUUAUGCACAAAUUAGUGCAAUUGAAAUUUAUCACCUAGUAAACCAAAAGUCUAUUCAUCCCAAUAAUUUUAUCAUUUGGCAUGAUCAUUUCAGAAAUCUUGAAUCUAUAAUGAUGAGACAAAUAAUCGAGAAUUCACAUGGUCACUCAUUGAAAAAUCAAAAGAUAUUAAAAGCAAAUGAAUUCUCCUGUGUUGCUUGUUCCCACGGAAAAUUUAUUAGACCAUCACCAGCUAAAGUUGGGACUGAAUCCCCUACAUUUCUAGAACGAAUUCAUGGUGAUAUAUGUGGAUUAUUUCGAUAAUUUAUGGUGCUAAUUGAUGCAUCAUCUAGAUGGUCACAUGUAUGUUUAUUAUCUACUCCCAACCUGGCGUUUGCGAGUUUGCUUGCUCAAAUAAUUAAAUUGCGAGCACAAUUUUCAGACUAUCCAAUAAAGAAAAUUCAUCUAGAUAAUGCUGGUGAAUAUUCAUCACAUACUUUUGACGAUUAUUGCAUGUCCAUUGGAAUAACUGUUGAACAUCUUGUAACUUAUGUUCACACACAAAAUGGUCUAGCCGAAUCAUUUAUUAAACGGCUACAAUUAAUUGCUAAACCAUUGUUGAUGAGGUUUAAACUACUUUCAUCUGCUUGCGAACAUGCUAUAUUACAUGCAGCAACACUUGUGAGAAUUAGACCGACAAGUUAUCAUACUUAUUUUUCCCUACAAUUAACUUUUGGUUAUGAAUCCAAUAUUUUUCAUUUAAGAAUAUUUGGUUAUUCAGUUUGUGUUCUAAUUGCACCGCCCCGACGUUGUAAAUUGGGCUCGCAAAGAAGAUUGAAAAUAUAUGUCGGGUAUGAAUCACCUCUAAUUAUUAAGUAUAUGGAACCAUUGACAGAUGAUUUAUUUAUUGCGAGAUUUGUAGAUUGUCAUUUUGAUGAAUCAGAUUUUUCAACAUUAGGGGGGAGAUAAAAAUCAACCGAAAAAGGAAAUCACUUUAAAAAUAUCAUUGAAUUUUCUCGAUUCUCGUACAAAAGAAUGUGAACUAGAAAUUCAAAAGAUUAUACAUUUGCAAAAAAUUACAAAUCAAUUACCGGAUGCAUUUAAUGACUCCAGAAGAGUUACUAAAUCACAUAUUCCUAUUGAAAAUGCUCUGAUUAAAAUUAAUAUCCUUGAAGGACAAAUUACAAGUGCUAAUGAGUCUAAAGUGCGCCUGAAGCGUGGGAGAUUUCUUGGUUCCAAAGAUAAAAAUUUUCGAAAGAAAAGAGGAGUACAUGAAUCAACAAUUAAUGACAAAAUUUAACCUCCUGAAGAGAUCGCUCCUAAAGAGCCAAUUCUUGAAGAGAAUAAAAUCAUAGAAAAUUCAAUAAAUUUUGUCACUUCAGGGAAAAGUUGGAACCGAAAAGAAAUAAUUAUUGAUAGUAUUUUUGUAUAUAAUGUAGCACUUGAUAUUAUGGUAGAGAAUGGGGAUUACGAGCCUAAAUCGAUUGAUGAAUGUCGACGUAGAAAUGAUUGGCCAAAAUGAAAAGAUGCGAUCCAAUUUGAAUUGGACUCACUGGUUAAAAGAAAAGUUUUUGGACCUGUAGUCCAAACACCUGAAGGUGUGAAGCCAGUAGGAUAUAAAUGGGUAUUUGUGAAAAAAAAAUGAGAAAAAUGAAAUCGUGAGGUAUAAAUUAAUACUUGUAGCCAAAGGAAUUUCACAAAGGCCUGGAUUUGAUUAUGAUUACACGUAUUCACUUGUAGUGGAUGCUAUCACAUUUAGAUAUCUUGUGAGUUUUGCAGUACAUGAAAAAUCAGAUAUGCAUCUAAUGGACGUCGUUACUGCAUAUUUAUAUGAAAAUCUUGAAAAUGAUAUUUAUAUGAGAAUUCCCGAAGGAUUCAAUAUGCCUGAAACAUGCAAAUCAAAUCUUAAAAAUAUUUAUUUAAUUAAAUUACAAAAGUCUUUGUAUGGAUUCAAACAAUCUGAACGUAUGUGGUACCGCCUUAAUGAAUGUUUAACUAAAGAAGGCUAUACCAAUGAUCCAAUAUGUCCAUGUGUCUUUAUCAAGAAAAAUGGAUCAAAUUUUGUGAUAAUUGUUGUAUAUGUUGAUGAUCUAAAUAUGAUUGGAACACCUGAAAAGAUUCAAAAUAGUGUUGAAUAUUUGAAAAAAAAUUUGAGAUCAAAGAUUUUGGAAAAAUAAAAUUUUUCCUUGGUUUACAAAUUGAGCAUUUGAAAAGUGGAAUUUUGUCCACCAAACUGCUUAUACCCGGAAGGUAUUAAAGCGAUUUUAUAUGGAUAAGUCACAUACAUUAAGUAUUCCAAUGGUCAGAUCAUUAGAUCCUAAUAAGGACCCUUUUAGACCGCGAGAGGAAGAUGAAGAGAUACUUGGUCCUAAAGUACCAUAUCUCAGUGCAAUUGGUGCACUACUGUAUCUUGCUAAUUGUACAAGACUUGAUAUAUCAUUUACAAUAAAUUUAUUAGCAAGAUUUAUUUCCUCGCCCACAAGACGACAUUGGAAUGGUAUUAAACAUAUUUUUCGUUAUCUUUAAGGAACAAAUUGAUCUUGGCUUAUUUUAUUCAAAUAAAUCUAAACUUGAAUUGCUUGGUUAUGUUGAUGUUGGAUAUUUAUCUGAUUUGCAUAAAGCAAGAUCUCAGACUGGUUAUCUAUUUACAUAUGGAGGUACAACCAUUUCUUGGCGAUCUAGAAAGCAAUUAUUAGCCGCCACUUCAUCGAAUCAUGCUAAAAUAAUAGCAAUUCAUGAGGCUAGUCGAGAAUGUGUUUCGUUAAGAUCAAUGACCUACUAUAUCCGGAAGAGUUGUGGGUUAUCCUCUGAAAAAGAAAAUCCUCCGACUAUAUUUUAUGAAGAUAAUGCAGCUUGUAUAGCUCAAUUGAAAGGAGAAUAUAUUAAAGGAGAUAGAACGAAAUAUAUUUCACCAAAAUUCUUUUUUACUCAUGAUUUACAAAAGAAUGGUGAAAUUGUUGUGCAACAAAUCCGAUCAGAUAAUAAUUUGAUAGAUUUAUUUACUAAUGUAUUGCCGACUGCAAUAUUUGAGAAAUUGGUGAAGAAUAUUGGAAUGCGACGACUAUAAAAUCUCAAAUGAUAUUUGCAUCAGGGGGAGAAAUCAAUACACAAGAAUAGUGUACUCUUUUUUUUUCACUAGAGUUUUUGUCCCGUUGGAUUUUUUCCUAGUAAGGUUUUAAUAAGACAUAUUCUUUGUGUAAUUAAUAUCCAAUGGGGAGUGUUAUGAAAUAACUAAAAGUGUGGAUGUCCAUUUGUAUUCUCAAGAAGAUCAAUUCAUAAUUCAUUGCUCCCAAGAGAAUUAAUUCAUAAUUUAUUGCUACAUUAUGUAAAGGAAUUACAUUGGAUGAUCGGUUUCAAUCCAUAAGAGCUAUUCAUGUAUUGGAUGAACCAUUUCAUAUGGCUAUUCAUGUUCUUGUAGUAACGAGUGUUUAAUAGAAUUGAUGUACCUUUAAUUUUGUAGUACCUAUAUAUAGAUGUACCUUAGCUGAUAGGUUGCAAUUUUAUCAUUUAUUUUAUAAUUAAUUUCUCCUAUUACCUGACUUGAUGUGGAUUAAUUGCGGGAUUCUACUCACUUUUAGUAUUUUGCAUUUAUUUCAGGGAGUAGAGCGAAAAUAUAAUAACAGGUGCUAAUUUGACAAAAAAAGAGUCCAAGGCACAGAGCUUAUCCCGGGGGCAUUAUUGGCAAAGGAAGACUUUUGCCCAUUUUGGUAAUUUCAAAAGAAGAGAGCAGGGCAGAGGCCUCUAUUUUACUGGAGGCUGGAGCGCCGCACAAAGGGAGCUUCUUCUUCCUUCGGAGGCUCCGUCCUCUCCGCAAGGGGGCUGCCGCACACAGCAGCCAUUAGAAUAGGAGCAAUUGAUAUAUGACAGAGAAUGAGCACUAGCACCAGGGAGUUGCCUUUGUUGACUUUUCUUCCCUUUUAGUUCUUAGUAGUUGUUUUACCUUCCUCGUACGUAGGACCUUUAGCAUAGUUUCCUUUUGACUUUCCCUUGAGUCUUGGGUGGAUGUCUCCUGCGCAUGUCAGGAGCAAUUGAAGGUCUCGGUCACUUUCUGUAUUCUUCCAUCAACUGAGCGAACUGAGCUCCCUUGGUCAAGGGCAAUGGCUGCGGCUUCCUCUCCAACUUUGUGUGGGAUUCGUUCACCAGGAAUGAACUAAUUUUUCUUUUCUAGUCAAGGAACAACGGAGGUCUUGGUUGGCCUAAAUUUGUGAGAUCGAAUUAGUUUUUAUUUAUUUCCAUUAUUCACUGGUAUUUGUCUAUCUUCUGCUUUAUGUUCAUAUGGUUGUUUUAUUAUUCGAUUAUCCAGGGCCCGGAUACUAGAUUAAUUCAAUAACCUGAAGCCAAUUAGGAUAGUUAAAUCCGUAAUUGUUUAAUUAUUCUAAACUGCUGGCAACUGGCAUGAUUGGGUUUGUGUCAGGGGGAUAAACAUGCUAACUUAAAGAGACCCUCGUAGCGUGUUGAUUGGUUAGAAUUAGGCUCUUCUAAUUAUUCAUGCAAUUAGGGAAUUGAACUUCUAUGGUCGUACCUAGGGUUAUUUCCUGAUUAGAGAAAUAGUCAACGGUCGUACCUUGGCUAUCGACAAAUUGAGGAAGAGUUGGUUGUUUAUCGCGUGUAUGGCAACUAUAACUAAUUUAUCAGAUAGUAACUGGAAUAAUCCUUGCAUCUGUGAUCGAAUUAAGUGAACCAUCUCCGAAGUUGUCUCUUGGCUAGAGUUCGUCAAUUAUUAUUUUUAUUGUGAUAAUUAGUUAUUUGAGUUGUAGUUAUUUUAUUUUAUUUAUUCCAAGUAAUUUAGUUACUCUCAUUUUCAAAAACCCCCCAUAUCUGGAACUUGAGAAGAAAUUAAAUUAUCCCCAGUCCCUGUGGAUUCGACCCUGCUCACCGCUAUAUACAGAAUUUGUAUUUUAUUUGAGCAGGUAUUUAUUAUUGCACAGGUUCGGCACCUGUCAAUUUUUUGCUACAUUAUGUAAAGGAAUUACAUUGGAUGAUCGGUUUCAAUCCAUAAGAGCUAUUCAUGUAUUGGAUGAACCAUUUCAUAUGGCUAUUCAUGUUCUUGUAGUAACGAGUGUUUAAUAGAAUUGAUGUACCUUUAAUUUUGUAGUACCUAUAUAUAGAUGUACCUUAGCACCUCUUGGGUGUACUUUUUGAUUAGUUGGAAUAAUAAAAAAAUCAUUCUCCAUUUCUGUACUUCUUUCUCUAAUAUUUCAAUUCCUAUCACAGUAGUUAUUUUUUUUUAGCUUUACAACAUUACUUAAAUAAGAGAGUUAUUGGACUAUAUGUUUAUUGACCUCUACUAACUUAUUUAAGGUCAUUUCAUAUCACUAUCCAAAGAAGAAUUAAGGUCAUUUCAUAUCACUAUCCAAAGAACAAUUCUUGGGCGCUAACAUUUUUCUUACAUGACUAUUAAUGAAAGUUGACCCAAAUCUCUCUGUCUCUCUCUUUCUUUCAAUUCUUAGGACUGAUGCCAAUUCUUACCAUUUAGAAAGAAAAAUUAGAUUGUUUAUAUAUAUGAUGAGUUCCCUCUAAGUCAUGGUUAAGAAAAAUUCUUAGUUAAACGCAGUUUUAUGAAAUGUGAAUUUCCUUUUCUUUGUCUUUAUUCAUUAGUAUUAUUGGGGUUAUUGUAUUAUGAUUGCAAUGCACAGAUACAUGGAUUUUUGACAUUUUUUCUUUUUAAUUGACUCUGACUAUGCCUCAAACUCGAGACAUCAAACCUGGACACGACUUUUGUCCAAAAUGCUUGUAAAAAUUCAGAAGAAUAAUUUUGGACCUUAUUAUUUGAUAAUGGUACAAUUAUGAGAGUCAUUCCAGGUUAAUUAUCAAACUUGGAACUUGAAAAUAAUGUCGACAUCAUGUCAUUAUUAUUUUUUAGUUUCAUAGAAAAAUGAAGUAUUCUCCAACUCGACAUUAUCAUAGUAUUUUCAAUUGGCAGCUCAUGUGAGAAAGACAAGAAAUUCACAAUCAACUGGCCAAGAGAGUGCCAACAAAGAAAGCACUAAAUGGCUUAAACAAUGCAUGCAAAUUUGCUUGGCACUUAAACAAUAGACACCUAAAUCAACCAUGUCACUGUCUUGCCAAAAAAGGGCAUUAAAGUAAAAACAACUCAUGCCUACCACAGGUAACAAACUUCAGCACCUUCACUUCACUACCAUGUCAGCAACAACAUUUGCAAAUUUCCAAGGAAGUCCACGCACUAAAGGUGCCCAUGCCCUUAGGGGACCUCAGGUUAGUGUUCUUAACCUCAACUCCUGUCUUUCUGUUCUUAGGAAAUAUUGAAAUUAAACGUUAUAACUAAUCCUGAUUUCCUUGUGCUAUAUUUGUACACAAUUUGGCAACAAGGGUAAAAAAAAAUAAAAAUAAAAAGGUUUAUCUGCAAACUGUAGUUCGGCCUGGCUCUUUUUUUUUUUUUUUUUUUUGGGGAUAAGAUCAUCUCAGCACCCGCAGACCCCGUCAUGUAUCAAUAUUUCUGUACUUAGCAUUGGCUUCUUCUCGCCUGAAGAACACACGAACCACCGAAAUAGAUGGUGCAUGAAAGUGCACUUAACCCUUUUAAUUUUUCAAAACAAUCUUUUAGAAAAAAUAAUAAAAACUUUUUGAAUUUAAUUUUAGAGAAGAAGAAUUUUAAAAUUUUUUGAAUUUAAUCUUAGAGAAGAAGAAGUUUAAAAUGUACUUUAAUUUUCACAACUGAUGAUGAAAAUAGCAAAAUGUACACGGAUAGUGACAAAAGUGGGAUCACGGGCAGGAAAUCCUGAAGGUUGCGUGCAUUUUACACACGGCAUAAUUCUGUUUGUAUAUAGUGUAAUUUACUUUUUACAACGUGUAAUUUUAAAACAAAAUUUUGUAAGUCUCACACAUUUUAUUAAAAAUAAGGUACAAGAUGAAAUUUGGACCAUAUAAUUUUUUUUAAUCAAAUCUUGACCGUGAACUGCUCAGAAACGGUUUACCUGAUGACCGUCCCUGGUCCAAACCCGACAAAGGUGCCAUCUUAUCCUUUUACUGACUGGCCCGUUUUCCAAUGAGAGGGCCCAGAAGGGGUGCCUCUGCUUCAUAGUUUAUCCAUAUUGAUAUUUCUUUUCUGUCCCCCUAACUAUUAAAUGUGAAAGGUUGCCCACCAAAUUUGACGAAACCGUUUAUCCUAAUUGAUUAUUAUCAAUAGGGCAUAACUUUAAUAUUCUUCUUCCAACCCUUUCUGGUGAUUCCUGCAACUCCAGCCGUCCGUCAAUGACCAUAAAGCACCAUUAACCGACAACUAACUAACCACUAUUAAUCUAUUCUCAAAUUUUAAUGAAAUUGCACAAUCUAUUCUCAAAUCAAAUUUGAACAACAUUUUAUAGUCGAUAACUUUGAAACUUGAUAAAAAAGUCUGUUUAAACUCGGUUUAGUAAAUAAACAAAUCAAGUUUGAACAAAAUUUUAAACUCAUUAAAAUAAUUAAACACGUUUGAAUAUUAGGGUAUUCGAUUUAAUUAGACACGUUUGUAUCCCUAAUUAAAGCAUGCACUUUUAUAAGUUUAGGAAUCAACAUUAUACAUUUAAUAGCUAGCUAGAGGGUCAAAAAGUUAAUUGCCUUAAAUUCUUUUAGCAGCCAUAAGGUACAGUUGGAGGGAUUCCCUUGAAAUUGGUUAGAUUCUUCUAUGUGACUAAAGAAUUUCGGGUGUGACGCAUUACUAGUCCUACCCUAAAAAAAAAUGGUAUUACUAGUCCUUUUUUUCUUUUUUGGCGUGCCCCCGUCGUGGGAUGUGGGGAGGGGAGUCUGUGCGAGAAUUCUAGGUCGGGGUACAAGGAGCCAAAGUUCACCUUAUUCAAAGUAAACAACCGUCCAUCUCAGUUGUCGACUUUCCUGUCGAUUGCGUAUAUAUAUAUAUUACUAUCUUUUACCAUGACUUUAGAGGAUAGCUAAUUUUGCUUGCUAUUAAAUAAUAAUUUCGGUAGUCUAUAAAUACUCUUGUUCCUCACCGCUCCUAGCACCACAUAAUUCCUUCAAGAACAGCCAAAACCUUCUUGAAAUCCCUCUUUUUCCUUCUAGUUCAUUUCCAAGAAACAAAUGGCCCCUGUCACUUCCAGUUAUGAGGUCACCUCCUCAAUCCCUCCUGCAAGGUUGUUCAAGGCCACCAUCCUCGAAGAGAAGCAUCUUCACAAGAUCUUGCCACAGGGCGUUAAGAGUGUCGAAAUCCUUGAAGGAGAUGGUGGAGUUGGCACAAUUAAGUUGACCACAUUUGUUGACGGUAAGAUAAUCAAUACAAAGUGAUUAUUUUCACACAUUUGAAGUCUUCAAAUUUUUCUCUUUUUUUCCCUUUUAUUUGGGAAAAACUAAUGACUUUUUUUUUUUGGUUGGGUUAAAUAUUUAGGUGGCGAGCAUAAGACUGCCAAACAGAGAGUUGAUGGAAUUGACAAAGAAAAAUUUACAUACAGCUAUACUGUACUUGAAGCUGAUGGAUUUAACGAUGUAAUCGAGAAAAUCUGUUGUGUCAUCAAAUUUGAACCCUCUGCUGAUGGAGGUUCAAUCUGCAAAACCACUAACACAUACUACCCCAAAGGUGGUGCUCAGAUCAGUGAGGAACACCUCAAGGGAGGAAAAGAGAUGGGUUUGGGAAUGGUUAAGGCUGUUGAGGCAUACCUCCAUGCAAAUCCUACUGCCUACAACUAAUUAUAAUGAAUGCUACUGCAAGGACUCUUCGACAUAUUUUCUUCAAGAUUGAAGUAUAAACUGAGGGUGUCUGUUUCCUUUUUUGCUUGGUUUGCUUAAGCUGUUUGGUUAAGUUAUUCGCAGCAAGAGAAUAAAAUAAUUCAUUUGCUGUUUUUAGAUAUGAAUUCAUGACUGUCAGUAGUCUAUAAAUACACUUAUUGCUCACCACUCUUUGCACCGCAAAAUCUUUUCAAGAUCCAUCAAACCCUCCUGUUCUUGAUCUUUCUCCAUUUGUGAAAAAACAAAUUAAAGCAUCAUGGCCCCUAUCACUUGUAGUGCUGAGAUGACCUCCCCAAUGCCUCCUGCAAGGUUGUUCAAGGCCGCCAUCCUUGAUGACCACCUUCUUCCCAAGAUCAUGCCACAGGCUAUUAAAAGUGGAAAUUCUUGAAGGAGAUGGUGGAGUUUGAACCAUUAAGUUGAGCACAUUUGGUGACGGUUAGAUGUUAUAUUAAAUGUAGAACCCAAAUUUUAAGGAUCUAAUAAUAAUCAAUUAAUAAUAAUCAAUGCGUGCAGGGUUACAGAAUUGGAGGGAUAAAACAAAUACUCAAAUAAAUGUGGAAGAAAAGAAAAUAAUAAAUUCAACUCACAAAAUUAUUGAAAUUUCAAACAAUGAAAAAAAUCAUACCUUAAUAAAUUCAGUUGGUUUUAAUAAUAAUCAAAGCAUACAAGGUUAAAGAAUUAAAAGGAUAAAACAAACACUCAAAAUAUAUGUGGGAGAGAAGAAAAUAAUAAAUUCAACACACAAUAUUAUUGAAAUCUCAAACAAUGAAAAAAGUCACACCAUAAUAGAAAAUCUUGCAAAUUCUUCUAGAUUCUUUCUCUUGAGAAACCAACCUAAAUAAUGUUCUAUUUAUAAUCUACCAAACUUGUUAGGAAAGAAACCACUUGCAUAAGAAAUUACCAAAUAAAACAGAAAUUCCUAAAUCACACAACUACUAAAAACAUAACUCAAAUAAAACUAAAAAAUAAAUAAAUUUUUCUUGGCUUAGUUUAAUUUGUUAACAUUGCCUCCCUUAAACCAAACUAUCCAUUGAGAUAUGUUCAACACCAUCUCGAGUAACAAUUUCUAUGCAAAUCUAUGUUGUAGUAUACUUGACAUGAAACUCUAACUUGUUACCAGUUAUUAAUUUCAUCUUUACACGUAACAGUGGACGUACUAUGUAUUUUGUAAAAAAUUUCUCAACAAUUUCUUCUUGAUCAAAGUACUCAUUUAUACAAACCCAUUCAUCACCAGAAUCAUCAUAUUUACCACCAAUGUAAGUUCCUAAAAAUACAAAAUCAUUGCUUGCUUUCUCGCUAAAAUUAUCAUAACCAAAUAAUUUAAAAUAGCCACUACUACAAUCAUCCAAAAUUUUCAUACUGUCAGUCAACUCUUUUGGAGUAAAAUAUUUUUCAACUAUAAUGACAUCCAUAUCUAUCAAAUCAAGCAUUCUCCCAUCACUUUGAAGAAAGUCCGAACCAACGAAUUUUUCAACAACAAUUUCAUGAUCUCUUCUCUUAUCAAGUCAAAAUUUUCUUCUUCUUUUGUCAAAUUACCAUAUUAUUGUUUCAACAAAUUCAUUACUUCUAAUUUCUCCAAACAAGGUACGCAAAUCAAAACUAUCAAUUGAUUCAAAAUUUUCGAUAUCACCCAUAUUAUCAACAAAUCUAUCAUUUUUAAAAUCCACAAACCAAUACCAACAACUAGACUUCGGUUUGAAAGCAUAAUUUCUCUCAAUCGUGUGCAAAACAAAGUAAAUAUCCUUCCAAAAUCUCUAAAGUAUUUUAGUAUGACCAAUAAAGGUUUUAUAAAUACUUUCUGCCAUUAUUUUACACAUCACUUGAAAGAAUAAUUGUGCUUUUUUUCUUAAAAACAUGUUUUGCCAACUUACUUGCAUCAACCCAACAAAGAAUAUCAUCCAAAUUACAUUGUUUGAGAUAUUUUUCCACUGUUAAAAUUCAGCCAAAAUAUGUAUGUCUAUUUGUGUUUAUAGGAGUCAAUAUGGAAAAUUUUUCACCAUCAAUCAGAUCUUUAUAAUAUUCCAUUAUUUAACAAUUUGUAUACCUGAAUAAAUUUUUUUCCUCCAUCCUGUCAUGUUUUCUUGGCCUCCUUGGUUGACUGACCAAAUUAUUGUUGUAUGUAUACCCAUGCUUGUCAAACCUCAUUCGUGUACACUCGUAAGGAGUGGUUUUGAGCUUACUGUGAAUGCUUAAUACCAAGAAGUAGAAGAGAGAAUGCAUAAGAGAGAAUUAACUUGGCUAAAGAAUUGGGAAGCAAUUUAGGGAUUUUUUAAGAAAUUAAUUCUCCAACCGCCACUUUUGGAAAUUUCUAUCAACAACUAGUUACCAAAACACUAGGACAGCGAUCCGUCUCUAUUUUACUCUUCAAGUCUUCGCCGGGGAAGCAACCCGGCCUUGCGAGACUAUAAUGAAUAGGCACUUGCCUUCUGUUUUUACUUUUUUUUUGUUCAAAGACUAUAAUGCCCUUAUUAUUUGACUGCGCAUCUCGCAAGAUAAUGCUUUCCAUCAAAAUUAACUGUUGGGUUUGACAGAAGCGCCACGAAUAUUCUAUUUUAUUAGAUCCAGAGUCAAAAUUUUACCGUUAAUUGUUAGAGGGUUAAAACUUUAUCUGGAAAGGAGUUGGAGGGCCAUUGGAACUCUUUUUCCAAAAAAAAAAAAAAGUCACUUUUGUCAUUUGUCCAAGAACAGUUCUGGGGCCAUCUCGACAGUAUAUAUUUUUCUUACAUGCCAAGACAAUUAAUGAAAAUUGACCAAUAACACACGCACACACACACACACACACACACACUCUCUCUCUCUCUCUCUCUCUCUCUCGGUUGCUGCCAAGUCUUUCCAUUGAAAAAGGAAAAUUCAUAUUGUUUACAUAGAUAAAUUACCUCCAGUCCGUGGAAUGUCUUGAUGUUAGGUGAGUUCUAAUAUUUUGGUAUCAUCUAGAGGUGGCAAAUCAACCCACUUAACUAAAUUUACCCAUAUCCGCCCAUGAAUAGAUGGGUAUGGAUAUCUUAAAUUUUUGUAUAUGAGUAUAAAUGGGUUACCCAAUAAUACCCAUUUAAAUGGGUAACCCAUCAAACCCAAUUAACCCAUUUAGAAUUCUCUUCCCCUCAAGUCUCUUCUUUUCCCCCACCUUUUUUUUUUUCAAAUUUUUCAUUUUGUCAUGAUGUUAACUACUUUUGUUUUAUUAUUAUUAUUUGUUGGUUUUAUCUUAUUAUUUUAUUUUCUCUUAGUUUGUUAACUUACUCAUUUUUUACCAUUACCAAUUUAUGAUAAAUUUUAGCCUAUUUUCUUAUCUUUAUAAAAUGAAAUUUUAAAUUUAUAUAUGAAAAAAAUGUUAGGGGUUCAAAAAUUUUGGAUUAAGUUUUUAUAUUAAUUUUUAUAGUACUUAGUUCAAAAUUUUAUAUUCUUAUUAUUCAAUUAUUAAAUAAUAGGUAAUUUUGUGACAUAGAGUAUAAAUGAAAAAAAAUUGGUAAUUAAGUUUAUUGAACAUUAUAAGUAAAUAUUUAAAACUAAUGAUGGGUAUAAAGAGUGAUAUAAAUUGAUAACUUAGUUUGCAAAAAUGAAUUUAAAUGAGUUUGCAAAAAGUUAAAAUAAAUGGGUUAUAAAUGGGUAAUUGGGUUACCCAAUUCAUUUUUUGACUUGCCUAUUUAUACCCAUAUAAUUAAAUGGGUAUAAAUGAGUUGACUCACUUAUACCCAUUACCCAUUUUACCCAACUCAAACCCGCCCAAGUCACCCAUUUUGACACCUUUAGUAUCAUCUAAUGUUCAUUUGUGAAAGAUUGAGAAAUGAUAAAGAGCAAAACACCAAUUUAUUCCAUAAAUUAUUUUGCUAAAAUCAAAAUAGUCCAUAAAUUUUCUUUUGGCCAAAUUUUUGUCAUGAACUUUCAGAAACGGUUGCAGGGGAUUUCAUCCGGAUUGCUUGUGCAGUUGAGUAACUAUACAGAAAUUCUUUUUGGGAUGCUGAGUAUCUUAGGAUGGGUACAAUGAUCGCUUAGAUCAGUAGAGAUGAUUGAUGAUGUAGUAGGGGAAGAUUCCCUUUAUAAAGCUGAUUUUCUCAUGAUUAAUAAGAAUAUAAAUGUUACCAAAUUUUCUUUUCAAAUGUGUAACGAAAAUAUUGGCCAUGAUCAGCAAGACCUCCUUAAUUAUAAAAGUUUCUUGAAUGUCAUCAUCCAAUUUGUUUAAGCGAGGAUUUUUAAAUGCUAUCUUUAAGCAAAUUGAUUUUUGUAUUAUAGAUACUUACUACUAUUACUUCAUACCUAGCUACAAACCUCAUGUAUGUUUUAGUUUUAAUCCAGAACAAAUCAGGGCCACGGGCCACCUUGCACAUAGCGAGAGUGGAAAAAUAAAACUACACAAUUGCUUUUUUGAAGCCAGUGACUCAACUGAUUUUGCGCUCGGCAAUUCAUCCGAUUUUCAUUAAAAGGGCCCUAAGAGGCCAUUGGCGUUUUGGGCCUGUGAAAAUUUGGAUGAUUUGGUGUGUCCAAUGCAUGUGUAAGCACAAAUUUUGUUGUCUAAAAUAAAAGACAAGAAAACUUACAUAAAUAUCAAAUUUAUUAAAUUAAAUAACAAGAGGGUUACAAUAUUUGAAAAUUUUUGAAUCAAAGAAAUUAAUCUCCUAAUUUUUAUCUUCAAAAGGCUUUAAUCGGAAGGCCAAAAAGGCUUGUUCUCCGAUCAAGAGGGUGUUUUCUAUGAUUUCUAUGUAAAAAACGGCUGCUUUGAUGAUGACGUUAAUAUUUGAAUCUUUAAAUCUUCAACGCCGAUGGAAGGAGGAUUUAUUUAACUUAAUUUGGAUUUGGAUUUGAAUUUGAGGGAAAAAGCUCUCAAGAGAAUUUGACAAAGUUACUUUGAAAUUUAGGAAUUUUAAUGUAUUUUUGCCUUGAGGGAAGACCUUUAUUUAGAGUCAACAUAUGCAAGCUAUGUCUUCAAGAGAAUCCUUCAAAACCAUCUUGCGUUUGGGUAACUUGUACCUUAAGAAACCCAUUUAACUUGGAGUUAAAUAGUCGGCCGACCCAAAUAGUCAAUUGUGAAUUAACAAAUCAAUUAAAUCACUUUAAUUUAAAUGGGCAUCACAUUUUUUAUUUGAUUUAAUAGCUCAUAUAACAUUGGCUCAAUUUGUCAAUCCAAAACAUAAUGAACUUCUAUAAUUUAAUUUAAUUUAAUAAAAAUCAAUUUAAUUUACUUAAUCUUGCCUAAAAAUAAAUUAAAUAAAUUUUCGUUGUCUAUGUCCCCACUUCAAAACUUGGCAAGGCAUUGCAUGUUUAUUUGAAUUAACUUAAAACUUCUUAAUACGAUUCAUCUAAGCACCUUUAUAUAUAUAUAUAUAUAUAUAUAUAUAUAUAUAUAUAUAUUUAUUUAUUUAUUUAUAUAUAGAGGUACAGAAGACAUGUCUUUGUCUUGAAACUGUGACAAACAGGACACUUAAGACAAGGGCGUGUGAAGACUAUCGCACUAUUUGAGCGAAAAAAACCUGUUUUGCACGUAUAUUUUGAAGGUAAUCAUCUUUAUUGUCUUUUGACAACUUCAUGUUGGUCGAGUAUCAGAUAUUCACCAAAUUUUGUUGAAAUUUGUCAAAACUUGAUUUGUUUCCAAUUUGGAGAAAAAAAAAGAUUUUUUUCUUCGUUUCUGCAAUUUUCCAGGUCACUCUUUCCUAUCAACAUGUUACGAUUCAGAAAUUGAGACAAAUCUUGUACAUAGGAAUCUUUUUUAACAGCUGAUGGUUGGAAUUUAGCAGACACCUUGAAGUCAAAGAAGGCAAAUAGCAUUCCAAUAGCAUUAUUUGGUUGCAUGCCAUAUCCAAGAUUUUCACUAGUAAGCCACCAUUUUCUUGCUUUUGAUUGUUAUUCAUUCUCUGUUGCGCAAUUUUAUUUUCGCACAAUCUAUUUUUUUCGUUGAAUUUUCUCUUUUGCAAAACAGCGACCACCAAGGAAAGACAGAAAGAUUUUUUUGUUUUUGUUUUUGUUUUUGUUUUUGUUUUUUUUUUUAUGGUUGCACCUUGUGUUGGCACCCCUUAUUUGAAGCAAGUUGAUGUUCCAGUUGUGUUGGGGAUUUUAGGGCCAUAGCUCUUAGAACUCAAAAUACUAAUGUAAUUUCCGCACUCCAUGACAUUUACUUCUUGUCAAUGCCAAACUCUCCUCUUUUUUUUUGUGAUAUGAAAGGAAGAUCUCUCGUUGCAACAUAUAUGGUGGACACUCAAUUUGAAAGAAGGUGCAACCACCAACUUGCACGAGAGCCAUAUCAUGGUUUGAGGAGUAUAAUGAAAAUGAUGCAACUGCAAACUCUUAUGAGAGCCAUAUCAUGGUUGAGAAGUACAAUGAAGAUAGUGCAAUCAAAAAUUUGAAAAAGGUGCAAUCGCAAACUCCCAUGAGAGCCUAUCAUGGAUUGAGGAGUACAACGAAGAAUGUGCCACAAAAAGUUGAAAAAUGUGCAAUCGCAAACUCGCACGAGAGCCUAUCAUGGUUUGAGGAGUACAAUGAAGAAGGUGCAACUACCCACUUCAAUGAGAGCUUACCAAAACUCGAGAAGCCCUUUCAUUUAACUUCACAUUGACUAUUUAUUACUUCUCUCACUGUCUUCGAUCACACCAUUGUAAUCAAAUUUUUUUCUCUUGCUUUUGGUCCUAACGAAAUGGUGAUGGUCAAGGAAGUUACAUCUUCAAACAAAAGGCACCUCCUUAUCACUAAUAGCCAUGAUGACUCUGCUGACAAAGGAACGAAAUUAUUGGUGCAUCCCUCUAUACAAGAAAUUUACUCUGGUGAUUGGUUUUCUCACAAGUAUUCCGAAUUAAAGGAUUGGUCACUAAAAUUUUCUCAAGAUGAUGGUACGAAAGUUCACUCCUUGAAAUUCCUUAUCAUAAUAAGGAGCCAAGGACAAUUGGCAGGCGAAUCCUAGAUGAGACUAAGGGUGCAAACGAGGCAAGUCGAAUCGAGUUUUGAAGUUAUUGAGUCGAGUUACACUUAUUUAUAUGCGAGCUCGAGUUCGAGGUCGAAAAAUAGAGCUCGAACUCGGCUCGAUGUAGGAAAAGGAAAACUCGAGAUCGACUCGCUUAUGGCUCGCGAGUUUAGCUCGAAUUCUGGCUCGCGAGCAGCUCGAGUUUUGCUAGAUUUUCUGGCUCGCAUGAAGCUCGAAGUCAGCUCGAUUCUAGCUCGUUAGGAGCUCCAGUUCGAACUCGAAAACAGCUCGAUUUUCUGGAAAUUUAUGCAAGAAAACAGAAUUUUUGUCCGCAUAUUUUUGAUAAAAUUUGAGCAUGAUAACAAUAAGUUUUCACAUAUUCUUGAUCUUGAGGCCUACAAAUUAUGCACUAAUACAAUCAUAAAUGUCCAAAUGUCCACUAAUACAAAUUAUCCAAAUGUCCACAAAUGUCCACUAAUACAAAUUAUCCAAAUGUCCACAAGAAGUCUGAAGAAUACCAGCUUGUUGUCCACAAAAACCAAGGCAUGACAUGAAGCGAGAAUUUCCUGACUGCGUCCUGGAACUUUACUCAUUUCUGUCUCUAAUUCCUCAUGAUCAGUUAGUCCACCAACAUUGAACAAUAUGGAUCAGGAAUGGGGAAAAAUCACUUUCUAACACUCAAGAUCACAUACAACUCAUAUCCAACAAAUAUCCUGAAGUUUCAUGAGUAUAAUCACAUUAAAAGAGAAAAGGAUACUGACAAGCAUGCUAAUCAAACUCAAGCAGAAAAGGUACUUUCUCCUUGCCGUCUCCGACAUCCCAGCCAGCAAAUGGCUGGGGUUCGUGACAGCUGUUUGGGUCCAAUCCAUCUCCGGCAACAACUAUACCUUCUCCAAUUACUCCGACGCCCUCAAAUCACUCAUGGCCCUCACUCAGCUCCAACUCAACAACCUCUCCGUCGCCAAUUGAUGUCAUUAAAGCAGAAAAUCGGCCUGAUGGCCUCCACCAGCUGCCAUCCCUAAUCCAAGAAGGUCGAGUGUAGUAUGCUUAGGACCAAAUACAGAUGGAGUUCCCAACAUCAGUUCCUUCAAGCUAGACCCACCAUCACACGGCAGCCCUAGUCCUAGGCCUACUACCAAUGAUGCACUAUCAGACUCAAUUGCCCUCCCACUCUUCGCCCGGAAAGACAGUGGUGAAAAGAGGUAAGGAGGUGGCGGCAAAGAGCGACGGGUUAGCCAAAGUUAGAAGAUCCUCUUUUUCUAGAUUUGCAAGUUUCCUACUCUAGAGACAAAAAUGUCCUUGAUAUUUGGUCGUGCAUCUUACAAGAUAAUGCUUUCCGUCAAUUUUAACCGUUGGAUUUGACGGAAGGGCCAUGAAUAUGCUAUUUUAUUAGAUCGAGAGCCAAAAUUUUACCGUUAAUUGUUGGAGGGUUAAAACUUUAUCUGGAAAAGAGUUGGAGGGCCAUUGGAACUCUUUUUCCAAAAAAAAAAAGUCACUUUUGUCAUUUGUCCGAGAACAGUUCAGGGGCCAUCUCGACAGUAUAUAUUUUUCUUACAUGCCAAGACAAUUAAUGAAAAUUGACCAAUAACACACGCACACACACGCGCACGCACACACACACACACUCUCUCUCUCUCGGUUGCUGCCAAGUCUUUCCACUGAAAAGGAAAAUUCAUAUUGUUUACAUAGAUAAAUUACCUCCAGUCCGUGGAAUGUCUUGAUGUUAGGUGAGUUCCAAUAUUUUGGUAUCAUCUAAUGUUCAUUUGUGAAAGAUUGAGAAAUGAUAAAGAGCAAAACACCAAUUUAUUCCAUAAAUUAUUUUGCUAAAAUCAAAAUAGUCCAUAAAUUUUCUUUUGGCCAAAUUUUUGUCAUGAACUUUCAGAAACGGUUGCUUCCUGCAACCGUUGGUGAGGGAUUUCAUCCGGAUUGCUUGUGCAGUUGAGUAACUAUACAGAAAUUCUUUUUGGGAUGCUGAGUAUCUUAGGGUGGGUACAAUGAUCGCUUAGAUCAGUAGAGAUGAUUGAUGAUGUAGUAGGGGAAGAUUCCCUUUAUAAAGCUGAUUUUCUCAUGAUUAAUAAGAAUAUAAAUGUUACCAAAUUUUCUUUUCAAAUGUGUAACGAAAAUAUUGGCCAUGAUCAGCAAGACCUCCUUAAUUAUAAAAGUUUCUUGAAUGUCAUCAUCCAAUUUGUUUAAGCGAGGAUUUUUAAAUGCUAUCUUUAAGCAAAUUGAUUUUUGUAUUAUAGAUACUUACUACUAUUACUUCAUACCUAGCUACAAACCUCAUGUAUGUUUUAAUCCAGAACAAAUCAGGGCCAUGGGCCACCUUGCACAUAGCGAGAGUGGAAAAAUAAAACUACACAAUUGCUUUUUUGAAGCCAGUGACUCAACUGAUUUUGCGCUCGGCAAUUCAUCCGAUUUUCAUUAAAAGGGCCCUAAGAGGCCAUUGGCGUUUUGGGCCUGUGAAAAUUUGGAUGAUUUGGUGUGUCCAAUGCAUGUGUAAGCACAAAUUUUGUUGUCUAAAAUAAAAGACAAGAAAACUUACAUAAAUAUCAAAUUUAUUAAAUUAAAUAACAAGAGGGUUACAAUAUUUGAAAAUUUUUGAAUCAAAGAAAUUAAUCUCCUAAUUUUUAUCUUCAAAAGGCUUUAAUCGGAAGGCCAAAAAGGCUUGUUCUCCGAUCAAGAGGGUGUUUUCUAUGAUUUCUAUGUAAAAAACGGCUGCUUUGAUGAUGACGUUAAUAUUUGAAUCUUUAAAUCUUCAACGCCGAUGGAAGGAGGAUUUAUUUAACUUAAUUUGGAUUUGGAUUUGAAUUUGAGGGAUAAAGCUCUCGACAGAAUUUGACAAAGUUACUUUGAAAUUUAGGAAUUUUAAUGUAUUUUUGCCUUGAGGGAAGACCUUUAUUUAGAGUCAACUUAUGCAAGCUAUGUCUUCAAGAGAAUCCUUCAAAACCAUCUUGCGUUUGGGUAACUUGUACCUUAAGAAACCCAUUUAACUUGGAGUUAAAUAGUGGUCCGACCCAAAUAGUCAAUUGUGAAUUAACAAAUCAAUUAAAUCACUUUAAUUUAAAUGGGCAUCAUAUUUUUUAUUUGAUUAAAUAGCUCAUAUAACAUUGGCUCAAUUUGUCAAUCCAAAACAUAAUGAACUUCUAUAAUUUAAUUCAAUUUAACUAAGAUCAAUUUAAUUUACUUAAUCUUGACUAAAAAUAAAUUAAAUAAAUUUUCGUUGUCUAUGUCCCCACUUCAAAACUUGGCGAGGCAUUGCAUGUUAAUUGCUGGAGGCAAGACUUGAAGUAUUAAUUUUACUGCUGACCUAAAGUCAAACUAAAUUAAAGACUUCAAGCGUUCGGCAUACGGGUGAUCCACUUUUUUUUUUUUUUUUUUUUUUUCCUUUUUCUUUGGGAAGAGAAUGGUCCACAUCAAUUGUAGAAUUGCACCUCAAAGUCCAAUUGAAUAGGCAACGGUCACGGGUCUUCACUUUCACCUACUACUUGAAUAAAGCCUUGAAGCUCUUGAAUUUUCCAACUCUUAAUUUAGUCGUCAAUGGAAGUGCAGCCCCACAAUAUUAGACCGCAACUUUGACCCGUAGAAUUAGAAACCCCCGUUUGAUUAUGCGAUGUGGGCUCCUGCGCAGAAACUCCCAUAUGCUGAAAUUUGGAGUUUGCUCGUACGUUUCUGACCACCAAAUCUUGUUUUGGCACUUGGCAAUAUGGAAUUUGCUGAGUUUCAACGCUUCCUAAACGGAACUUUAAUGUAUUUCCAAAACCAAUGUUUGCAACUUCUGAAUAAGAAUAUGCCAAAUUUUAAGAGCUUCCCAAAUUGACUUCCAGCCAUUGAAAUUAUUCUUGGGAACCAAAUUCAAAUGAUUUCCAAAAAGUUAAACGAUAAUCACUGAAUUUAGUAUCUGUCCAAAACUUAAAACUUCUUAAUAUGAUUCAUCUAAGCACCUUUAUAUAUAUAUAUAUAUAUAUAUAUAUAUAUAUAUAUAUAGGUACAGAAGACAUGUCUUUGUCUUGAAACUGUGACAAACAGGACAUUUAUGACAAGGGCGUGUGAAGACUACCACGCUAUUUGAGGGAAAAAAAACCUGUUUGACACGUAUAUCUUGAAGGUAAUCAUCUUUAUUGUCUUUUGACAACUUCAUGUUGGUCGAGUAUCAGAUAUUCACCAAAUUUUGUUGAAAUCUGUCAAAACUUGAUUUGUUUCUAAUUUGGAGAAAAAAAAAGAUUUUUUUCUUCGUUUCUGCAAUUUUCCAGGUCACUCUUUCCUCUCAACAUGUUACGAUUCAGAAAUUGAGACAAAUCUUGUACAUAGGAAUCUUUUUUAACAGCUGAUGGUUGGAAUUUAGCAGACACCUUGAAGUCAAAGAAGGCAACUAGCAUUCCAAUAGCAUUAUUUGGUUGCAUGCCAUAUCCAAGAUUUUCACUAGUAAGCCACCAUUUUCUUGCUUUUGAUUGUUAUUCUUUCUCUGUUGCACAAUUUUAUUUUCGCACAAUCCAUUUUUUUUCUUUGAAUUUUCUCUUUUGCAAAACAGAGACCACCAAGGAAAGACAGAAAGAUUUUUUGUUUUUGUUUUUGUUUUUGUUUUUGUUUUUGUUUUUUUUUUUUAUGGUUGCACCUUGUGUUGGCACCCCUUAUUUGAAGCAAGUUGAUGUUCCAGUUGUGUUGGGGAUUUUAGGGCCAUAGCUCUUAGAACUCAAAAUACUAAUGUAAUUUCCGCACUCCAUGACAUUUACUUCUUGUCAAUGCCAAACUCUCCUCUUUUUUUUUGUGAUAUGAAAGGAAGAUCUCUCGUUGCAACAUAUAUGGUGGACACUCAAUUUGAAAGAAGGUGCAACCACCAACUUGCACGAGAGCCAUAUCAUGGUUUGAGGAGUAUAAUGAAAAUGAUGCAACUGCAAACUCUUAUGAGAGCCAUAUCAUGGUUGAGAAGUACAAUGAAGAUAGUGCAAUCAAAAAUUUGAAAAAGGUGCAAUCGCAAACUCCCAUGAGAGCCUAUCAUGGAUUGAGGAGUACAACGAAGAAGGUGCCACAAAAUGUCGAAAAAUGUGCAAUCGCAAACUUGCACGAGAGCCUAUCAUGGUUUGAGGAGUACAAUGAAGAAAGUGCAACUACCCACUUCAAUGAGAGCUUACCAAAACUCGAGAAGCCCUUUCAUUUAACUUCACAUUGACUAUUUAUUACUUCUCUCACUGUCUUCGAUCACACCAUUGUAAUCAAAUUUUUUUCUCUUGCUUUUAUUGCAAGUUGGUCCUAACGAAAUGGUGAUGGUCAAGGAAGUUACAUCUUCAAACAAAAGGUACCUCCUUAUCACUAAUAGCCAUGAUGACUCUGCUGACAAAGGAAUGAAAUUAUUGGUGCAUCCCUCUAUACAAGAAACUUACUCUGGUGAUUGGUUUUCUCACAAAUAUUCCGAAUUAAAGGAUUGGUCACUAAAAUUUUCUCAAGAUGAUGGUACAAAAGUUCACUCCUUGAAAUUCCUUAUCAUAAUAAGGAGCCAAGGACAAUUGGCAGGCGAAUCAUAGAUGAAGACACACACUGGGGUGCUUCCUUGAGAUUUAGUGAUGAAUUUGGUUAUAUCGAGAAUUAUUAGGAGCGGUUGGAAGAUAUUUUUGGAAAAAACAAACAAGUGUUUCGUGAAAAUUACUUGUUCGAUGUCUUAUAUGCUUCGCUUCUCAUAUAUAACAAAAAUUCUCAUGUGUUUAGAGCAUUUUGCGAGACAUGGUGCCUAAACACUAAUACCUUGCAUAUGUCAAUUGGAGAAUUAUCUCUCUCACUUUGGGAUCUGUGUAAAUUAGAAGGACUUCCAAUCAUCGGAUACAUCUAUGAAGAGGCGAUCCCAUGUGUAGAGGAACUAACUGGAGUUAAUGAAAAGAAGUUGAUGCAUAUUCCGCAAAAUUGUGAGUAUUUGUUCGCGGCUCUGCACUACCUUCAACAUGGAGAAUACUACAAUUAUGGAGUUUCUGCUAGCCAAUAGAUUAACUUUUGGUUUAAAGGCAACGUGAGGUAUUCAAAACCAAAACAGAGAAGGAUAAAGAGAGCAUCUAGUGCUUAAGCAACCCAAAAUCCAGAUGGAAAGAUUGGACAACCACGUAAUUUUUAAUUCAAGACAAUGGCAUAUAUGAUACCAUUGGAGACAAGUCUCACUUACGAGAAGAGACUUAUCUUGUAGCAUUUAUAUCUUGUUGACUCUACGUUUUUACUCUACCAGAUGAGGACGUCUAUUAUAUUAGACUAUCUACCUUCAAAAUGGCUAGCAUGAUGGCUGUCGGAUAUAAAACUUGCCUUGCUGUUCCUGUCUUGCUGAGUAUCUAUCACGGAUUCAAUAAAAUUUCAAAUUCAUCUACUCCAAGGUGUGCGCGUGCAUUUUUUUCAAUGCACUACGUGUAUGCUUAACUGGCGAGUUAUUUCUCUACCCAUUAUUCAACUCCGAAUAUCAUGCCUGGACCAACAAUUAUCAAUUAUUCUGGAAAGGGUGUGCACAAUAUUUUGAUGAAAAUAGUGCUUGCGACCUCAUUCAUCAAGGAGACAAAGUAACUUGGGGGACAACUUCUCUUGUGAAGAAUUAAAAUGAAUUUUUUGUUGAUGAUGGCAAGUUAGCGAACCCAGAACUGAUUUAUUUCGUAAGUGCUUGCUCAAAUUAUUUAGUCUUACAUGCUGAAGGAGAUUUUCUUGUUGAGCCAUACAGGUUUGCAAGGCAAUUCGAAUUUUAUCAAAACACCCCACAAGAACUGGGAGCAGAUGUUCAUUCUACAAAUUAUGACUUGAGUCAAAUACUUUGACACAUUGCUAUUCAUAAUAAGACAGAGUCGAAGGUAUUUUUUUCUAGUUACCCCUUGAAUGCUAACAAGCAUAUAUCUCCAGAUUUUCAAACAUGAUGUUUUGAUUAAGAGUGUCCAACCAAAUUUGAAACAGAAGAAAUCGAAAGGAAAGAAACUUGCAAAUUUGAAUAAUCCUGUCAAGGUUGGCAGUAAUCUUGAGGCGAAACAGAAAAUCACCAAGACUGUGAGGAUUGAGGAGAAAGCAUUGCAGAGCUCCAGCAACUCGUGAAAUUCUAAUUUUCAAUGAAGAAUUUUCGAAUGGUAAUUCAUUUUGUCUUCCUUCAAUAAUUGUAAAAGCCACCAAUCAUGAGUCUCGCAAUUCCAAUGAAAAGAAGAGGAGCAACUCUUUUGAUGAGAAGGAUGAGCAAUCUACUAGUACAGACUAGCACUAGAAGCAUAAGAAAUUCAAGGUAAUGACUUUCUCUUUGGAUGAUAUUGUUUUAGACCCUAAAGAAAUGUUUAAGGACAUUCUGGACAAAUAUGUGCUUGGUAUAAGUCAUGCCAAUAUUAUAAGAACAUUCUCUUGCCUUCUUUAGUUUGGCAUUUGAAAUUUACUUAUCAAUUUCAUAUUCAUGAUAUGUCUCAUAACAUUUUCCAUGUAGUUGAAUGAUCAAAACUUGAUUUUUAUUAAUGAUGGGAAAUCAAGCUAAGAAUUCGUUGAAGGACCCACUAUAUUUUAACUUUUAACAAAACAAGUGGUCAAUUCUACUCAAUAAAAGGGCAUCAUUGAAAAUUUCAAAAAGGCAGUGCAUGAUGAAAAUUCAGUUCAACAAAUCAUGCUACAGAAGAAAGAACAUGUGACUUCACCGGAGAAAAAAAAGUUCAAAAUUUUUGAUCCACAACCGUAGCCAAGGGCACCUCAAGUGUCUGAAUUUUGCCCCCAAACUAUGAUCUUAACAUGUCAUCGAGAUUACAUUCAAAUGCUCUGAAAUAAUUUGAAGGUGCUGAUAUCCGAAACAAUCCUGGAACGCAUUUCUGCUCUUAAGAUGAAAGCAAAUGAAAUCAUGGAGGAAAUGCAAAGUUUCAAUGCUAUGAAUAUUUCAAACUUGUAAGGCCUUUUAAAGCCUUUCUUUACAAAACCAAUUCGUUCUGUCGUAAUAAAGUCUUCUUUCUCAAAUAAAAUUUCAAUUGAAUCAUAUAAUGAGUUGUUUUCUAUAGCUACCCAACAUCUUAGAGAUGCUCAGAGUAAGGAGAAAUAAUAACUUAAAAAGUUCUCAACGUACAUGUUAAAAUUUAAAGAGAUUGACCAUGAGAAAAUAGAGCUAAGGAAAUGACUUGAAUCUAUGGGUACUCAUAGGAUGGAAAUACUUUCACUGCUACGAAAGAAACAAGACGAGCUUACCUAAAUGCAAGGCAAGAUGAUCAACUUAUGAAAUGAAAUUCAAAAGAUUGAAGAUUCCCUAUCUUUACUUGUUGAGGAGAGCCAAACAUUGAACAAAAUGCAAGCACUACUUGAAAGCAACUGCAAAAAACUGUCAUCAUUUGAACUUUAGAAUUAGUUACAAUCUUUUACUUUUUUCAAAUUUUAUUUAUUGUCACUUGCCUAUAUUAUAUAGCCACAGGCAUAAUUAAUUUUUUAUUUCACCAUGAAUCAUGAUUUUUUUUAUUUCAUGAUACUCUUGUGGAUAUUUCUUACUUUCCUUUGUUGCUUUCAUUAACCACCAUUUUAGACUAUCGAUUGCAAAAUAAACAAUUCAACAUUUGCAUAAUUUUAAUCACAUUUGAAGAGGUAAUUGUCUACAUAAUUUGAUAAUUUGAACAAUAUACUUUCAGGUGUAUGUUGCAAAGUAAUUUGAAUUGCCCUAAAGAGAAAAACUUUUUAUCUUUUAUUGCAUGACAUCUUUAUGGGGUUGUAACUGAAUUUCGAAGUUACCAUCUAAACUGUUUGCAUAUCCCAAAAGGGAAUAAAUUCACGUGUAGUUCCUACCAUCCACAGUUUAAUUUCUUGCAGGUCAGGAGUAUCUAUUUGCUUAUCACUUUAAACUUGGUGGAGUGUUUUAGUAGUUUAACCAUAUACUACACUAUUGGUGAUUGCCGUCCACAGUUUUAACUCAUAUGGACCAAGAGCAACAUGCAGUUUAGACUCAUGUGUCAUGAAACAACAUGCAGUUUAGGGUCAUGCGUCAUGUUGUCCUUUAUUUUUUUUAUGGCGUGUAUAAUCUUAAGAAAUUUUCAUUUAUGGGUCAACAUUUACACCAUUUUGUCAACUACCUUGUACGCGUUAUUUGUAUAAACAUUUCGGAUAAUAUAUGGUCCAUCCUAUUCGGAGACAAAUUUAUCUUUAGCAUGAUGAGUCAUAACUAUUGAUUUUCGAACGGCGAACACUAUGUCACCAAUUUGAAAGGAAUGAUGAUGAUAGCUUUAGAAAGGUAAGCCUGGUAGCAUUCAAGAUUUUGUUGAGUUUCCAAUUCCUUUUCAUCUAAAGUUUCUAAUUCUUUAAGAAGCAAGCAAAUAUUUUCUUUCUCCAUGAGCCCUUAUUGGAUGGCAAUUCUCAGAGAAAGAAUUUGUUGUUCAAGAAGCAAGACAACUUCUACACCAUAAACUAAGGCAUCAGGGGUGGCUUGCAUUGGAAUUCGAUAUGUGGUGCGAUAAACGCAGAGAGUUUCACCUAUCAUUUCAUGCCAAUCCUUCUUUGAUCUGGCCAUCACUUUUUUCAACAAGUUGCAUAGAGUUUUAUUGAAUGCCUAAACAAUACUGUUGGCAGGGACAUUAUACAUAAAGGACUUGCGAUGUUUGAAUUUAAAUUUCUCACACAACCUAUCCAUUAAACAGUUGAAGAAGGGUUUCCAUUAUCAGUGAUAAUGUGUUAGAGAAUUUCAUAACGAUAAAUAAUAUUUACACGAAUGAAAUUCACCAUAUCUUCUUUUCUCACUUGAGUGGUAUAGUUUCAUCCCAUUUAGAGAAGUAGUUGGUUGUAACCAAUAUAUAUAGAUGUUGUCCGAACGACUUAGGCAAUGGUCCAACAACAUUAAGGUCCCAGGCAUCAAAAGGCUAAGAAGUAAUAGUCAAAUGUAAUAGUUCGGGUAAUUGAUGAAUGUAAUUUGCAUAGAAUUGACAAGUUUGACACCUUUGAGCGUAUUCCAUACAAUCUUUGACCAUAGUAAGGCAAUAAUAGCCCAUCAUUUUAAUCCAAAAAUGCAACUUGGGACCGAAUUGGUGAGUUUGACAUAUUUCAAAAUGUGCCUCUUGCAUAGCUUGAUAUUCAUUAUCUUCAUUCAGACAGCGCAAGAAUACACUUUCAAAUGAUUUUUGAUAUAGCGUAUCUUUGUAUAAGAUGAAACGGGGGCACGACAAUAGAUAUCAAAUCUUUUAUGUUGCUCCUUAGGUACCUUUUGAUACUUGAUAUAAUUGAUAACAGGUUGUCUCCAAUCUUCUUUAUCAACUUCAUAAGUUGAGACGACAUAAGCAUCACCUUCCUCAAUAUUUUCAUUAUCAAAUAAUGGUGAAACUAUCCACUUUUGAUACACACGAACUUGUAUUUCAUAAUUUGACAUAGUCAGAGAAGAAGCAAGCAUAGCUAAUGCAUGAGUUUGCUUAUUUUCUCUUUUAGGGACAUGUUCAAUACUUGUACCUUCAAGUUACCUUAUAAGUUGCGUUGCAUUCUUGUGAUAUGGAAUUAAUUUAAAUUUUUUAACAUCAUAAUUUCCCAAGGGUUGACUAACGACUAAUUGUGAGUUGCCAUAGAUUUGAAACUCAAAUUAUUUCAUGUCAAUAGUUAUUUCAAGUCCGAAUAUGAGGGUUUGAUACUUAACGACAUUAUUUGAACAACGUUGAUUUAGAAUAAAGGAGUAUGGCAAAACUUCUUCAUCAGAUGUUGUAAAUACAAUUUUGACUCCAACUCCAUGACGAUGAGUAGCAGAUUUCAAUAAGGAGUACAUUUUUAUUUGGUAGAUCAUCACUUAACUCCCAUUCAACAAGUAUCGGGUGAUCAAUAAGAAAAUCUACUAGUACUUAACCCUUCACGGCCUUUUGGAAUACAUAAAUAAUUUUAAAUUAUUGUAACUAGGUACCAUUUAGCUAGACAGUUGGAUAGUGUUGGUCUACUUAUCACGUAUUUUAUGAAGUUUGCCUUGAAGAUGAGUCUCACACUGUGUGCUUGAAAGUAGUGUUUUAACUUCUAUAUUAUAAAAAUAAGAGUUAAACACAACUUUUCAAUCGGUGAGUAGUUUAAUUUAUUAGAGAUCAUCAUAAAUAAUAAAGGGCAGUUUCUUUCACUUCAUUAUUUUCUUGUGCAACCAAUACCUCCACUAAACGUUCUUGGGUAACAAUGUAAAGAAUUAAUGGCUUUCUAUAAAUAGGUUCAAUCAAGACAGAUGCCUUCAUGAGAUAAGAUUUAAUGCUAUUGAAUGUAUUGCUGUACGCUUCAUUCCAUUGGAAUGGUACACCUUUCUUCAUAAGGUGAUUAAAUGGUUGACACCUUUCAAUUAAAUUUGAGAUAAACCUCCACAGAUAGGUUAAUCGCUCUUGAAGGCUUUUUAUUUCUGAAUAUUGCGAGAUUCAGGCAUUCUCAAUAUAGCAUCAAUGUUGACUCGAUCAAUUUUAAUACCUCGAUGACAGACCACAAAAUCAAGAAACUUUCCUGAUGUAACUCUAAAUGCACAUUUGAGAGGAUUCAAUUUGAGUUGAUAUAUUUUCAACCGAUCAAAAUUUUGUUUCAAAUCCUCCAAGUGAUUAUUUCUUUUUUUUUUUAUUUAACAACCAAAUCGUCCAUAUAACAUUUAAUAUUUUUAUGAAGCAUGUCAUCAAAAAUAUUUUACAUUAAUCUUUGAUAUGUAGUUUUGAUAUUUUCAAACUAAAGGGUAUUAUGUUAUAACAAUAAAUACCCUUAGGAGUAUGAAAUCUAGUGAGUUAUUUAUCCUCAGGUGUUAUUCGAAUUUGAUUAUAGUUAGAAAAGCUAUCCAUAAACGACAAACCCUCAGACCCAAUAAUUGCAUUAAUCAUGAGUUUGGUGAUGGGUAGAGAAAAAUCAUCUUUGGAACAAGCACUGUUAAGAUCCCUAAAAUUUACGUAGAUGUGAAUUUGCCUGUUCUUCUUUCGUACAGACAUGAUAUUUGAAAUUCAUGUGAAAGACUUAAAUUCAUGAAUAAAUCCAUCAUCAGUGAAUUUAUUGAUUUCAACUUCGAUCAAAUAGACCAAAUCGGGUCUAAAUCACCAUUGUACUUACAUUACAGGUCGAACUCCCUUUUUAAUAGGUAAAUGGUGGACUGCUACUUUUGAAUUUAGACCUAACAUUUCUUUAUAAGUUCAUGUAAAAAUAUCUUGAUACUCUUGCAAGAACUCAACAUAUGUCUUCUCUUCAUCAGAAUUCAAUAAAGCACUUACCUAUAUAGGAUAUGGGUCCUGUGAAGUGCCAAAAUUGAUUUUUUAAGUCAUCUACAGUGGCCUUAACGCCUUGUUCAAAUUCAGGUGAAGCAUCUUCAACAUCUUCUUCUUCUCCAAGGGAAUUAUUAUCAAAUAUGGUUAUAUGGUUGUAUGAAACAAUACUUUCUUCAUCAUCUUCCUUUGAUCUUGUUUCUACAAUAGUAUGCUCUCUAACCUUUAGUUCAGUCCCAUAAAUUAUUAUAAGAUUUGUACAUCUCCUCAUUCUUGAGAGAAUAAUGUUACCAAACUUAUAAAUGUUAUGGGGACAAUCAAAAGAUUCUUCAAAUUCUUUCAGUGAUUUUGUCAUUCUCCAUUUAUUCUUAUGAGAAUUUUGAGACUUUUAUUUUCUUUGUGGUCCUAGUCUUUUGAAGACGAAUACUCACAGAGCCUUAUCCCUAUUUUUAUGAAAAACGUGUGACUUAUUGACUAUUUUAGAAGAUUCAUCUCUUAUAGCAAUAAAUUGACUACCAGCUCUAUUGAUUUUGAUGCGAAUUGGUACAGGUGAAAAAUAGUAAAGAUCAGAUUUAGAAUUCUUAACAGCAUAUCCUUUCCCUUUCAACAUCUUUUGAGUAAGGUUUAACCCAUAAGUCACAUCGCUAGUGGCUUGAGGAGGUUUCAAUACCAGAGAUUUCUUGAAAUCAUACCCAAUUUUGGUAAGAAGUUUAUAAGCAAUAUAAUCAAAAGCUUCAUUAAUUCUUGACGUCAGUAGCAUAUCUUGCUUGAUGUCAAACUCUUUAUUAAGAUGAUCAAACCCUUUGAUUAAAGGCGAUGGUAUAUUCGUAGCAUCAAGUUUAGCCACAGGAAGAGUUAAUCCUUUCAGAGUUUUGUGUGGAAUUGAAGAUGGUUGUCCUUGUCCCAAUCUUGACUUGGGAGGGUAUCCGAAGACAACUGAUUUAUUUUUUAACAAUGAGGCAUCAAUUUUUUUAUGAACUACCUCUUUUGAUUUUGGAAUCACCACUUUCUUCGUUUUGCACUUGAUGAUUCGAGAUCUUGGAUUUUAACCAUAGAUGGAGAUUGUUUAAACUCAUUCUUUAUGUUAUACUGAUUUAUUUUUUAACAAUGAGGCAUCAAUUUCUUUCUGAACUACCUCUUUUGAUUUUGGAAUCACCACUUUCUUCCUUUUGCACUUGAUGAUUCGAGAUCUUGGAUUUUAACCACAGAUGGAGAUUGUUUAAACUCAUUCUUUAUGUUAUAUUUUUGGAUAUAAAAUUUAGCAUUAGCGAUAUGCAUUUCUACUUCAGUGUAAAGAUUAUAAUCAGUUUUCACACUUUUUACCACUCCAUUUCGGUAAUACUUGAAAUAUUGGUGAAGAGUUGAAAGCACAACCCCAUUUUCAUGAAUCCAGGGUCUUCCCAGUAGCAUAUUAUUUAUUGUUUUAGUAUCUAUUACAUACAGUUGUGCUUUAGACAAUAUAUCAUCGAUAACUAUCUCUAAAUUUAACGAUCCAAUAGCUCUUUGCCCUCCUUGAUUAAGGUCUUGUAUUAUUAGUCAGCUUAUUGGAAAGUUUAUCAAUGGAGAUGCCAAAUUCCUUUAGAGUUUUUAAGACAAGGCUAUUGACAGCAGAACCUCUCUCUAUCAAAAUUUUAUUCACAUUUUAUUUUUUAGCAUAAACAGUUACAAACAAAGGACGGUUAUGUGAUGUUGACCCAAAAAACAAGUUGAUAGGGUGUUAAUUGUUAGUAAUUUUAUUGCUAUUUUUCCCCUUUGUCCUUGCCAAAUAUUAUUUUAAUUGUUAACAUAUACUUAUUUUUGGUAUUUGGACCAAUCUACAGGAAGUGGAACUGACAAAUGCUAAAAAGGAGAUUUUAUUGAGAAAAAUCCUUCACAUGCUAGAGCCUCCAGCGGAUAUACAAGUUGGGCCCACAUGGUGUUACAAAUUCGGUUGCUGAUGGGGAGCUCUUAUUAUUGGGAGUUGACUUGUACGUGUAGGAGUCCUCCUACCAAGAGGAAACAAGAAAAAAGGAAUUCGGCAGAGGCCCAUCUUUUGUACUUAGCUUUCUCAAUUCGGUAGGGACCAUGGACUAGAGGUUUUCAUUAGUGAUUGGACUUUAAAAGGGAAGAAACGUAUAGAGGCUUGGGGAUUAUUAUGAUUAGCGUAGCUUUAGUUUUAGUGGUUAGCUAGCGUUUCCUUUUCAUGCGCACGAGGUGCUCGACAAUAUUUUUCAACGGGAAAAAAAAACAUCUUUUACUCUUGCUUUCUAGUGAAAAACUUGAUGCCUUUGCAAUCAAUUAAUUUGCGUGGAGAUUUAAUUAUGCGGCGUGGCUAAGCCUUUUAUCUAGUCAAGGAUCAACUCGACGGCGCAGUCCCAAAUAUCUGUGAGAUCUAAUUAGUUUUCACGCGUUUCUUAAUUUGUUAAUAUUUGCAUGUUGCCUAUUUGAAUUUCCACGGGAUUAUUUUGUUAAUUGGAUAUCAAGAGCCCGAUGUUCAAUGUGACUUAUUAAUUUCCUGCCAAAUUAGUCAAUUAAAUCCGUAAUUGUUUGAUUGAUUAAUAUUAGUAGCAACUGACAUGUUUACACACUAGAAGAACGUGCAAUCUAAUUUAAAUAACCCUCGUAGCGUGUUAUUGAUUGGGAUUAGAUUUUUCUAGUUAUUAAUGCAAUUGGGAAAUUAAUUCAUACAGUUGUACCUAGGAGUAUUUUCUGGUUAGGAGUAAUCAUUGGUCGUACCUUGGUUAUCAAUAAAUUAAGGAAAAAUUGGUCGUUAGAAUUCGUCGGCGACUAUAACUAGCCUAUUAAUAAAUUAAGUGAACCUCCCUUGCAUCAAUGAUCGGGUAAGUGGACUGUGUCUGAGUAGUUGUAUUCUUAACUAAAAUUUAUCUAUUCUUGAUUUAAUUCCUGCCUAUAUUCGUGCUAAUUAAUUAUUUAUUUUUAGUGAAUUGCUUAAUUAUUUUUAGUUUUACUCCAAUAAAAUUCCUCUUUACCAAUUGGAAUCUCAAAAAGACAAAUAUUCUCAGUCCCUGAAGAGACGACCCUACUUGCCAUUGUCUACUAUUUAGUAAGUUUUGUCAACUAAUUAAUUUUGGUAUAUCGGAUUAAGCAAAUUUUUCGGGAACAGGGUGAAUUAAGUAACCUAUUGCACAUCUAGAGUCCCGGCUCUAAUAUCUAGGAUUCAUUAUUGACUGCUUUUAGUGGUAUUUAGGUUAUUAUUAUUAUUAUUGCACAGUCUCGACACCUGUCAAUUUUUGGCGUCGCUGCCAGGGACUGGCGUUAAUUAUUUGUUUUUUUAAGUUCAAUUUUGUUCUAAUUUUCUGGUAUUUUUUCUAAUUUAUGCAUCAUUCUUCUCGUAUAAGUGAAUUAAUUUUCGACCCUGAAGUAGAGAAGAUCGCGCGUAGAACGAGAAAAGAAACCAGACAAUUCAGAGAAGAGCACUCAAGUACUACAUCUCAGAGACUUGAGCCGGAAGUUGAACCGGCAAAUUCGUUUGGUAACACUUCGAGUGACUCGGAUCAAGAGAAACUCACCAUGGCAAAUGCACAAACAUUAAGGGAGUUGGCUGCUUCUAAUUUAAAUCAACAGCCUUUAUGCAUUGCUUUCCCAAGUUUGAAUGAUGACACCCUCUUUGAACUAAAAUCUGGUCUAAUUCAUCUCUUGCCAUCUUUUCAUGGUUUACCAGGUAAGGAGCCCUACAAACAUUUACAAGAGUUUGAUGUUGUUUGCAACAGUAUGAAACCCCCGGGAAUCACAGAAAAGCUGAUAAAAAUGAGGGCCCUCCCCUUCUCUUUGAAGGAUUCAGCGAAAGAUUGGCUAUACUACCUACCACCAGGUAGUAUCACCACGUGGGACCAGUUGAAAAAAAAAUUCUUAGACAAAUAUUUUCCUGCGUCUCGGGCCGCCAGCUUAAGGAAAGAGAUAUGCGGUAUCAAACAACACCCAGGCGAGUCUCUCUAUGAGUACUGCGAGAGGUUUAAGAAGCUGUGUAUCAAAUGCCCUCAGCAUCAGAUAAGUGAGCAACUGCUCAUCCAAUAUUUCUAUGAGGGACUACUCUUCACGGACUGGAGCAUAAUCGAUGUUGCCAGUAAAGGGGCGCUAGUGAACAAGACCCCUCGAAAAUCUUGGGAGUUGAUUGAGGGGAUGGCUGAAAAUUCACAGCAGUUUGGUGGGCAGUGGCGAUGGCGAAGGCUCGCGGGGGUGGAAGAGCCGUUGGCGCGACUGGGGCCGCGCGGCUGCUAGAAUCUAGUUGCAUCAGUCUCUGUGGUCCUUGGGAUCUUUGAUUCGGCUGUUCCAUAGCUUGUCGAUCCUUUGUUGCAUCCCUGUAGGCAUUGUAAUUCCUGUUGAUUGAGUUGUUAUCUAGUUUUUGAGGGCACCUCUAGUAGUUCCUUUAUUUGGGAGUUAUUUGGGGUUGAGUUGGGAGUUAUUGGCCAAUUGAUUCCUAUUUUGCUUUCGUCCUGUUUCUGGUACUGUAUGGUUUUGAUUGGGGGGUGUCUCAGUGGUUUGGGUUGCCUGUUUGAAUUGGUUCUUACCUGUGUGUGCACCAGUGGUACUGGUUGUGUUGGGAAUCCGUGACUGAUUUGUUCUUGUCCAAUUGAAGCCAUUUUGAGCAAUUUUGGGGUGAACACAUUUUGUCAUUAAUUGUUGAUUGUUGGGGGACGUUUUUGGUAACACUUGAGUUGAUAGGGUGUUAAUUAUUGGUUAUUUUAUUAUUAAUCUCCCUUUUUAUUCUUGCCAAAUAUUGCUUAAUUGUUAAUAUUUACUCAUAUUUGGUAUCUGGACUUAAUUUCAGGAAUGAAGUAGAAAACUACCAAAAAGGAGGGAUUUUAUGGAGAAUAUGGAAACUUCUAAGGGCUUCAAUUCUUGGGCCCUUGAAUUGGUGGGGACCACAAGCUAGUGAAAGGCAUUUAGUCAUUUGAGCUCUUCAAAAGAAGCUACGUAUAUUUUAUUUUAUUUUAUUUUAUUUAUUUUAUUUAUCUCUUAUUUUUUUUUAUAUAGUUUAUGGCUUCUAACACUUCGUAUUUUGGUGAUAUACUGGAUUUUGUUUCCGGGAAAGGCAAUGUGACUAGUUUUUUUGCUAAGUCUGCAUAUGCAGAGGCACUAAACUCUAUUAGAGAAAGAAUGGCUGCUGCAACCUGUAAAAUUUGUUAUACCAGGGAUCAUUCAACCGGUAUGUGCCCCGAAUAUCAAGAUAAUCUGAGUGUCCCAUUCGAUAAUUAUGGAGAAUUUUCACCCUGGUCUCAAACGUGGUACGACCCUAAUCCAAACGGGUAUGAUCAAGGAUGGUGGGAUAACUCCAAUUAUAAUUAUACAACGGGACCAAUGAAUUUUCAGCAGUAUGAGUCUCAAGAAUCGUCAUCUAUGUCAGGUAUGUCUCUUGAAGAAAUAGUUGAACCAAUAGCUACUAACACAUACCAAUUCCAACAGGAGACACAAAUGAGGAAUGAGAUGAUGAAGGAUGCAAUGAGUUAUCUGGCAGAUCAACUAUGUCUAUUGACAUCCAGAAUAAAUCGAUGGGCUUCUCAAAUGGAAGAACUGCCCUCGAAAACCAUUGUUGACCUAGAAGAAAAUGAGAGUGCAAUUUGCUUGACUAGUGAUGAGGAGAUGCAAGAGUGUCAAAAUGAAAAAUCUACAGAUACAGUUGAAAAAGAAGCCGAAAAGGAAGAAAUGGAACCCCAACCGCAACCCAUUCAAGUGAAAGAAUCCAGUGAAGAAUCAUCAAAUGUGGUGACACCACCUCCAUUCCCUAACCCGCAUUUUUUCUAACUCUUACUCUAUGAUUUCUGUUAAUGAGAUUGAUUUUGUUAUACCGGAAGUUUUUGAGUCUCAUGGCAGAAAUAAGUUGAGAGUGGAGAUGGCGAAAUAUCUUGAACCGUUGAAUGCUCUUGAUGGAGGAAUGGAUGAAGAAUUGCGAUCAAUGCUUGAUUAUGUGGCGCCAUCAACUAGUCCAUGGAAGCCCGUGGUUCGUGUGCUCAAAGAUUACUCCAUCUAUGAGGGUUACCAGGAUCAUAUUGAAGAUGAAGCAUUGAAGCGAGCUACAAGAUUUUAUCCUCCAUGAACAAGACAUAACAAUGUCUAGCCAAAGACAUUAAAGAAAGGCGUUUUUUGGGAGGCAACCCAAAUAUUGAUUUUAUUAUUUUUAGUUGUUCAAUUCUUUCGUUCUGUUGUUUCUCAUUUGGAUAGUAGUUGGUCUUGAUAUUUUUCUCCACUGUGAUCAGGAAGUGAAAUCUUGGCGUGCCCACGCGGUGUUUAGGUCUCCUGAGAUCAGAGGACGAACACCAAUCUUGGCGUGCCCACGCGGUGUUUGGGUCUCCUGAGGUCAGUGAAUGUUUUGUAAUCUUGGCAUGCCCACGCGGUGUUUGACGACCCAAAACAUGAAAAAAAAAAAGUUUCAAAAUUUCACAUUGAGAAAAUUCAAAAAUUCAAAAGGCAUUUUUCUUUUUCUUCAAAAAUUCAAAUUUUGGAAUUUCAAAUUCAGGAAAAAAUUUGAAAAAAAAACAUUGAGAAAAAAAAACCCAAAAAGAAAAAAUUAAGAUUCAAAAAAAAAAAAAAACUAUUUUUUUUUCUCUCUUUUUCUUUUUCUCUUUUCUUUUUCUUUUUUCUUUUCUUCUUUUUUCUUUCUUUCUUCCUUCACCACCGCAGCAGCUACCCCACGCGACUCUCCUCCGCCUACCCCAGCGCACAGCCCAGGCCACGCGCUCCCUCCUUCCUGCAGCCCGUCGACGAAGCCCACCAGCCACCACCAGCAGGCCGCGGCUCCUUCCCCCUUGCGCGGCCACAGCUCGCGAACCACCUCUCCCACAGCGCGCGGCCUUCUCCCUUAUCUUUUGGCCGCGCGUCAUUGGCUCGCCCAAGGGCAGCCGCCGCCGCCGUUCCUCACAGUCAAGCAAUCGCAGGCCAAAGCCCACAACCCCAGCCGGCGCCGCCCGCAGCUCCUCGUGCGUGACAGCCGUGCGACGCCGCGCCUCCCUCAGCAACAGCUCCAAGCUCCAGCUCACUCGCAGACAGCCGCGCGAUUCUCAGCCAUUCACCUCGCGCGACCCCGAGCGCACAAUUCCGCGUGCCGCCAUCGAAGACCGCCGCGCCUCUCCCUCAGCCCGCCAUUGCGCCCCACCACUGUCCCGCUGUCUACGGUUGGGCACAAGGGAGGUACUUUUAAAAGAAAUUUUUAAUUUAAAUACGAGAAUGUCAAUUUCUAAAUUCUGGGGCUGUUUAGUGAUUGUUUGGAUUUCUUGGUGGAUUUGGUUGGCCGUCUGAUUAAAUUCUUCCUUGUGUGAUAACCAGUGGUACUGGUUGGGGUCUUUCGACCAUAGUUGUUGCUUAUAUUUGGUCAGAUGUCUGCUUGUUUGAAAGUUCACGUUCUUGUGAUUGAGUUGUUGCUCAAAUUCUGAUCUGCUGUUGCUAGAACUUUUGGUUGGUUGAGUUGUGCAAUUGACUGUCCAAUUGGAGACAGUUAUUGAGAUCUUAGGUGGGAUGGUGUCCAAUUGCUAAAAUUUGUUGCUUUGUUUCGUCACUCGCACUGCUCCUAGUUUGUUCGAGUGAAAUUGGUUGGAUGUUCUUUGCCCGUGGAGUGUAACUGUUACAUUGUUUGGGGCAGUUUUUUGGUAUUGAUUGAAUUGUUGGGCGUAAAUUGCUCAGGACUUUACAUUGCUAAUUUGGUGGGCCAUUUAUUGUGCAUUACCCUUUUGAAUUGGGAGAUACCUGUGCUUAUUGGGUUUUGACUACUUGAGAUUUCUGUUGCAUCUGGGGGAUAAAAUUUGAUGACUUUUGUGCCAGUUUAUUUGUUUGGAAAUUGUUGGGGGUAAUUUGGGAGUUACUUGUCAAUUGGGUCCCGUGUUACCCUCUACCAUUCAGUGGUACUGAUUGGUGUGUUUGGCUUUAUCACAUGUCUUGGGUUGGCCAUUUGAUUUCAAUUUUCCUUGUGCAUGCACCAGUGGUACUGGUGAGGGUAGUUUACAUAAUAUUUGUUACUCCUGUGUUAUUGGUUGCCUAAUCGACUACUGGGCAUUUGUGGUUGAAUUGUUUCUGUCCAACUUCUGAACUGUUGUUGCUGGAGUGCCAUUUUCUUGGGUCAAUUGCUGAUUUUAGCAAGUUGAAGUGGGUAAUUGACUGUCCAAUUGGAGACAGUUGUUACGAUAUUGGGUCCGAUUGUGUCUAAUUGCUGGAAGUUGUUGAUUUAUUAAGACACUAGCACAGUUCCUAGUUUGUUCGAGUUGCUGUUCUGUUGCAUUAUUGGGAGCUGUGCUCUAGUAUUGUGGCUACUUUCCUGCGUUUAUUUGUUGAAUUGGGAUAUGAAUGUGCCUAUUGCUCAUUUUGUUGCAUCUAAUUGACUUGCUUGGGGUAAUCUGCCCAUCAAUUUUAAUUACUCAAGUCUUUGGAGCAGUUGUUGCACAUUUGGACUACUUUGUUUCUAUAUCUGACUGAAUUGGGACCACAAGUGCUUAUCAAUUGCAUUUGCUAUAAGUAUUGGGGUAUUCGUAUAGAUUUUAGGAGCCUGCAUUGUGCAUUUUAUUGUUUGGGUUGCCUACUAGUUACCAUGGUGAAGCCACGAUCCUCCCCCAGGGGCCGAUGACUGGCUCCAACUUUCGAUGACAGUUGAGAGACUGGAGACUCGAGUGACCCACAUUGACAUCGACUUGCAUAACAUGGCGCAGAAUUUGGCAGCACUCCGCCCGACCCGCCCCUGUUUUGACAAUUUCAAGGAAGUACCGUUGCCCUUCUCUUUACUUUUGUUGUUGGUUUAUCACAUUGAGGGCAAUGUGUGAUUUAGGUGUGGGGGGAUCAGUUUGGGUGCUAGUAUUUUUAGUUUUUAGGUUCUAGAGGUUUUUCUUUUGUUUUAGUUUGAUAUUUAGUUCUUUUUUUUUCGUCUAUUUUAUUUUAUUAUUAUUAUUUUUUUUUCUUUCUCCUUUUUUCUAGUGGUCAGUCUUCAUAUGAAUACCAAGUUUGAUACUGGAUUGUUGUCUCUAAUUCUGCUAUUGCCAAGUCUUAUUAAUAAAAGGGUAUUAAGUUAAUGUGCUUGAGUUCAGGAAUAUCUCUUUGGUGAAUAUCGGUAAUUGCUUAACUUUUUCAAUUUUUGGUUAACUUUUCUAGGCAUAGGGAAUGAUUGUUGGCAUUUUUCAUGUGAAUUGGUUCAGUUAUUAAUUUUAGUUCUCCAUGUCUGGAAAUUUGAGGCUGGCUGCUGUUAAUCUUAUGUUGCUUUUAGAUAUCGUGUUAUAUGGUUGUAAAUAAGAGUUGACUGUACUCCGCUAGUGGUUACUACUGAGUAACCGGGGAUUUUCACCUAAAGUGUCGAUUCUCGCGUCAAAAGGUAGUAGUUGCUAUGAAUGCGUGGUCCUGUAGCGAUCGGAGCUGAGUAACCGGGCUCCUCCAUCUGAUAAAUGUUGGAGUUCGCGUCAAAAGGCUCUAAAUGGCUAGAGACUAAGUCUUUUGCUAUUCCCAAAAAAAAAAAGAAAAAAAACAAGUAAAGUUUGUGUUAGUAUUUAAAAAAAAAAAAAAGAAAGUCAGCUUGCCUAUUUGUGAUCUUAAUGUCGAGAUUUUGGUUAAUAGAUGGACCAUUUGCUGAUAAAUGUGAGCAACCAUUCCUUUUCCUUAGAUUAGUUUGCUUCAAAUUGAAGGAGUUGGUGGUUUAGAGGCUAAUCGGGGUGAUUUUUCUUGGAUGUUGACCUGUGAUGCUUGAUAUUUAUUUUUCUUGGACAUCUUGGCAAUACGGUAGUUGGAGUAACAGCCAUGGUCAACUUUUGGUGUUCAAUUGUUGUUCCCAUACUUGAGGGCAAACAUGAUUUAGGUGUGGGGGGAAUUGAUAGGGUGUUAAUUAUUGGUUAUUUUAUUAUUAAUCUCCCUUUUUAUCCUUGUCAAAUAUUGCUUAAUUGUUAAUAUUUACUCAUAUUUGGUAUCUGGAUUUAAUUUCAGGAAUGAAGUAGAAAACUACCAAAAAGGAGGGAUUUUAUGGAGAAUAUGGAAACUUCUAAGGGCUUCAAUUCUUGGGCCCUUGAAUUGGUGGGGACCACAAGCUAGUGAAAGGCAUUUAGUCAUUUGGGCUCUUCAAAAGAAGUUACAUAGAGAGACUUGGAGAAAGAAGUACUUUGGAGGCUUUGUCCAUAUGUGUGGGGACCACCUAGAUAGCUUUUAGUCAUCUUUCUUUUGUUGCUUUAAAAGGGGACAACGUACAGAAGCAAAGGACAUCUAGGGCUUUAGUUUUAGUUUUUUUAGUUUAGUUCUAGUUUCCUUUCUUUGGACUGGCCUCUGACACACGCCAGGUGUUCGACAAUAUUCCCCAACGGGAAGAUUUUCUCAUGAGGCGUGGUUAAGCUUUUCUAGUCAAGGGGACAACUGACGAUUUGGUUCGACAAUUACUGUGAGAUCGAAUCUGUUUUAAUUAUUUUCUUCAUUUAUUGGUAUUUAUAUGUUCCUUGAUUUUAAUUGCUAUGGCCUUGUGUAUGAUUGAUUAGUGCGCAAUAAUUAAUUAUUCAUAUAGGCUAUUUUUGCUAAAUAGGGGUAAUUGAAUCCGUAAUUGUUCGUUAUCUCUACCUCAGUAGCAACUGGCGUAAAUGGGUUUAUGUCAGGGGAGCAUAUGAUCUAAUUUAAACAAACCCUCGUAGCGUGUUUGUUGGUUAGGAUUGGGCCUUUCUAAUUAUUAAUGCAAUCUAGAAAUUAAAUCCUACGGUCGUACCUAGGGUUGUUUUUGGGUUAGAGAAAUAGCUAACGGUCGUACCUUAGCUAUCGAGAAAUUAAGGAAGGGUUGGUUGUUUAUCGCGUGCAUGACAACUAUAACUAAUCUAUUGCUAAAUGUUGGAAUUAUUUCUGCAUCAAUGAUCAGUGCAUGAACCAUUUCUGAUGUGUACCCUUGGCUAGAGUUUCCCCAAUCAUUUCUUUUAAUUAAUUAUUUUCUGCAGUUAAUUUAUUUAGUUAGCAUUUAAUCCAAAACCCCCCAUACUUUGGACUCUAGAAGAAACGAAUUAUCCCCAAUCCCUGUGGAUUCGACCCUACUCACCGCUAUAUACAAAAUCUGUAUCUUUAUUGAGUAGGUAUUUAUUAUUGUACAGGUUCGGCACCUGUCAAUUUUGGGGUGAACACAUUUUGUCAUUAAUUGUUGAUUGUUGGGGGACGUUUUUGGUAACACUUGAGUCUAUUUUGCUGAGUUCUGUUGAUAGAGCAGUUAUUUGGCACAUUUUACAGUGUUAUUUUGUCCUAAUUUUGGCUAUUCAUGGUGUUAAGAAUUGGAAUAUCACUCAUAUUUGAUGUUUGUGUGAAUUGUAGGUGGUCGGCAUUAAAAAUGACCUCUCAAGGCAAAUUUCUAGAAGACUCUUCGUCUCAGAGCAUGGCCACGCCAGAGAAGGUCGAUGUUACCGAAAAGCCGGACCCCGGUCCACGUGAACCGCAAGGAGCACGGGAUUAAAGCUCUAAAAGGCUAGCUUUUGUUUCAAUCAAUUGGGUCAGACAUGACUUGGCUCCUAGAGGCUUCAAUUAAAAAAGAAAAGAAAGGGCCAGACGUCGAGGGAAUGAGAAUGAGGAAACUAGGUCUACAUGGACCAGCUACACGGGAUAAAAACUCCAAUGAAGAGAAGAGCUCUGCUCCGCGUGGAUUUCCCCUGCGGCACUAUAUAAGACAACAAAAAAGGUGAUGCAGCGGAGAAUAUAGAUUAGCUUUGAUUUUCUUUUCGAGAGGGGUCAGGCGAUUGCAGACUUUUGUAGCUUUUCGGUUGUGACACUUGGACUCCUUGGCUUUUGUUUUGACUCUGCACAAUUUACGUUAGUUUUUGUUCGUACACUUGCGGCACCAAAGCAAAGACGAAGGCAGUGCCUUCUCUGUUGUUACUGCAAUUAAUUCCCCUUCCCCAAUUUUCGGCGAAUAAUUGAAUGAAUUCAAUUAAAUCACGCGGGAUUGACACGAUAAGGAGCGGCUAAUUUUCUCCUCUACCCAAAGGUUGACGCGAAGGCGCGGUCCAUAAUAUCUGUGAGAUCUAAUCGAAUUUUCAUUAUUUCUUUCAAUUUAUUGCUAUUCGUACGUUUCCUGAAUUAAUUGUUCAUGAGUAUUUUACUAAUUGAAUAUCAACGGCCGGGUAUUUGAUUUAAUUUAAUAGUCUACUGCCACGUUAAUUAAAUAGAAUCCGUAAUUGUUCAUUUAGUUAACACCUCGUGGCAACCACCAUAAUUGGCUUUAUGAUGGGAAAACGCAAGAUCUAAUUUAAAUAAACCCUCUUAGCGUAUUUAUUGGUUAGGGUUGGAUUCUUCUAGCUUUAAUGCAAUUGGGUAAUUAAAUUCUCACGGUCGUACCUAGGGUUGUUAUCUGGUUAGAGAAGCAGUCAAUGGUUGUACCUUGACUAUCGAAAAAGUAAGGAAGAACUGGUUGUCAGAGCUUAUUGAUAACUAUAACCAACCUAGUGAUGAAUGGAUGAAAUACCUUUGCAUUGAUGAGCAUCUGUCUUGAGUCCAUUGAAGUGCCGUUGGUUGAGUAAUUUCUGCGUCUUUUUGUUGAAUUGGAAGGCUAUUGUGACACUUCCAUUGCACUUUCGGAAUGCAUUGUUUCUGUAUUUGACUAAAUUCAGGCCACCAGUGCUUCUUGAUUGCAAUCACUGUGCUGUUGGGGUAUUUGUACAGCUUUGAGUACCUGAAUUGUGUUUGUGUUGGUUGGAGUACCAUUUAUAGAGAAUGGUGAGACCUAAAUCCUCCUCUAGGUCUAGGACACCUAGAACUUCUCAGCCUCCUCCCACCCUAGGGGCUAACGAUUGGCUCCAACUCCGAAUGCAAGUUAAGAGACCGGAGAUUCGAGUGACCCACAUUGACAUCAACUUGCAUACCAUGGUGCAGAAUUUGGCAACAAUUAUGCACCAUGCGGGUCUUGUUCCUCAGUUUCCGUCUGACCCACCCCUGUUUUGACGACUUCAGGGAAGCACCGGUGCUCUUUUGCUUACUUUUGCUAUUAAAUUAUCACAUUGAGGGCAAUGUGUGAUUUAGGUAUGGGGGGGAUCAGUUGUGGUACUAGUAUUUCCAGUUUUUGAUUUUUAAGUGUUUUUCCUUUGUUUUUAGUUUGAUAUUUUUCUCUUUUUCGUUUAUUUCUUUUAUUCGUGAUCAGCUCUUAUUUGAAUACCAAGUUUUGAUGUUGGAUUGUUGCCUCUAAUUCUGCUCUUGCCAAGUUUUAAUAAUAAAAGGGUAUCAAGUUAAUAUGGUUGAAUUCAGGAACAUCUCUUUGGUGAAUAUCAAUAAUUGCUUAACUUUUCCAAGUUUUGGUUAACUUUUCUAGGCAUAGGGAAUGAUUGUUGGCAUUUUUCAUGUAAAUUGGUCCAAUUAUUAAUUUUAGUUCUCUAUGUUUGGAAAUUUGAGGCUGACUGCUGUUAUUUUUAGUUAUUGUGUUAUAUGAUUGUAAAUAAUAGAUAACUGUACUCCAUUAGUUGUUACUACUGAGUAACCGGGGAUUUUCACCUAAAGUGUCGAUUCUCAUGUCAAAAGGUAGCAGUUACUAUGAGUGCGUGGUCCCGUAGCGAUUGGAGCUAAGUAACCGGGCUCCUCCAUCUGUCAAAUGUUGGAGUUCGCAUCAAAACGCUCUAAGGGUUAUAAACUAAGUCUUUUGUUAUUCAAAAAAAAAAAAGAAAAAAAGAAGCAGAAGAAAACAAAAGAAGCAGAUUGUGUUAGUAUAUGAAAAAGUCAGCUUGCCGAUUUGUGAUCUUAAUAUCGAGAUUUUGGUUAAUAGUUGGACCGUUUGCUGAUAAAUAUGAGCAACCAUUCCUUUUUCUUAGAUUAGUUUGCUUUAAAUUGGAAGAGUUGGUGGUUGGGAAGCUAAUCGGGGUAAUUUUUCUUUGAUCUUGACCUGUGAUGCUUGAUAUAUGUUUUUCUGGAUAUCUUGGCAAUACGGUAGUUGGAGCAAUAGCCAUUGUCAAAUUUUGGUGUUCAAUUUCUGCUCUCAUGCUUGAGGGCAAGUAUGGUUUAGGUGUGGGGGGAAUUGAUAGGGUGUUAAUUGUUAAUAAUUUUAUUGCUAUUUUUCCCCUUUGUCCUUGCCAAAUAUUAUUUUAAUUGUUAACAUAUACUUAUUUUUGGUAUUUGGACCAAUCUACAGGAAGUGGAACUGACAAAUGCUAAAAAGGAGAUUUUAUUGAGAAAAAUCCUUCACAUGCUAGAGCCUCCAGCGGAUAUACAAGUUGGGCCCACAUGGUGUUACAAAUUCGGUUGCUGAUGGGGAGCUCUUAUUAUUGGGAGUUGACUUGUACGUGUAGGAGUCCUCCUACCAAGAGGAAACAAGAAAAAAGGAAUUCGGCAGAGGCCCAUCUUUUGUACUUAGCUUUCUCAAUUCGGUAGGGACCAUGGACUAGAGGUUUUCAUUAGUGAUUGGACUUUAAAAGGGAAGAAACGUAUAGAGGCUUGGGGAUUAUUAUGAUUAGCGUAGCUUUAGUUUUAGUGGUUAGCUAGCGUUUCCUUUUCAUGCGCACGAGGUGCUCGACAAUAUUUUUCAACGGGAAAAAAAAACAUCUUUUACUCUUGCUUUCUAGUGAAAAACUUGAUGCCUUUGCAAUCAAUUAAUUUGCGUGGAGAUUUAAUUAUGCGGCGUGGCUAAGCCUUUCAUCUAGUUAAGGAUCAACUCGAUGGUACAGUCCCAAAUAUCUGUGAGAUCUAAUUAGUUUUCACGCGUUUCUUAAUUUGUUAAUAUUUGCACGUUGCCUAUUUGAAUUUUCAAGGGAUUAUUUUGUUAAUUGGAUGUCAAGGGCCCGAUGUUCAAUAUGGCUUAUUAAUCUCCUUCCAAAUUAGUCAAUUAAAUCCGUAAUUGUUUGAUUGAUUAAUAUUAGUGGCAACUGGCGUGUUUAUACACUAGGGGAACGUGCAAUCUAAUUUAAAUAACGCUCGUAGCGUGUUAUUGAUCGGGGUUAGGUUUUUCUAGUUAUUAAUGCAAUUGAAAAAUUAAUUCCUACGAUCGUACCUAGGAGUAUUUUCUGAUUAGGAAUAAUCAAUGGUCGUACCUUGAUUAUCAAUAAAUAAAAGAAAAAUUGGUCGUUAGAAUUCGUCGGCGACUAUAACUAGCCUAUUAAUAAAUUAAGUGAACCUCCCUUGCAUCAAUGAUCGAGUAAGUGGACUGUGUCUGAGUAGUUGUAUCAUUGGCUAGAAUUUAUCUAUUCUUGAUUUAAUUCCUGCCUAUAUUCGUGCAAGUUAAUUAUUUAUUUUUAGUGAAUUUUUUAAUUAUUUUUAGUUUUACUCCGAUAAAAUCCUCCUUUAUCAAUUGGAAUCUCAAAGAGACAAAUAUCCCCAGUCCUUGAGGAGAUGACUCUACUUGCCACUGUCUACUAUUUAGUAAGUUUUGUCAACUAAUUAAUUCUGAUAUAUCGGAUUAAGCAAACUUUUCGAGAAUAGGGUGAAUCAAGUAACCCAUUACACACCUAGAGUCCCUGCUCCAGUAUUUAGGAUUAAUUAUUGACUGUUUUUAGUGGUAUUUAUAUUUUUAUUAUUAUUAUUGCAUAGGCUCGACACCUGUCAAUUUUUGUGAUGUUGACCCAAACAACAAAGGACGGGUUAUGUGAUGUUGACCCAAAUAACAAGUCUUCACUAGUGAAUGUGAUAUUUGUGAUAUCCACCUCUUUAUUACCAGUGGGCACGUGAGUUAUCUCACAAGGAGAUUCGCGAGUAUCAUCCUUUGUUCUUCAAUAUCAUCAACUUGCGUUGUGUGACAUGAGACCAUAUCAAUAUCAAAGAAUCUUUUAGAUAUGAAUUCUUUUAAAAUGAUAGAAACUCGCGACUUUUGCUUGAAUACUUGAUUUUCUUGAAGAUUGUGAUUAUUAUUAUUUUUCUCUAUAUUCUUCUCUUUUCUCUUCCAGACCAUUCUACUUCUUGUUAAGGCCUUGUUUACCUUAUUAGAUGGACGAGAGUUUCAUCUUCAUCUUCGCGUGAUCAGAGUUCAUCCAUCAUCAUCUACGUCUGAUUGUAAUGACUUCUCAUCUUCAUAUUCAUAUUUUUGAAGAGCUGAAGGGGCGAUUUUUUGUUCAACUUCUAUAGGAUCAAAUGAUCCAAAUUGAAUGGUUGGCAAUAUAGGUAUCGUAAACUUUUCGACUUCCAUGGACUGUAGUGAAUCAACGGAGGUUUGAUUCAUACUUGCUUUGUUUUUUUCAAGAAAAUUUUUUUCUUGUCUUGCCAAAUCCAUCAUCUCAUCUUUAAAGACAAAGUAUUUUUGAAUGGGAUGUCCAACCAAGCAAUGAUACUUGAUUUGGAUCAUCCGUAUUACUAAUCUCGUCAAGUCAGUUCAUCUUGGAAGCAUGAUCAAGUUCAUGCUUAACAAAUUAUCAAAUAUACUAGGAACAUCAGAAUCAAGGAAAUUGUACUUCUUGUUUUGCAUCUCCUUGAGUGUUGGUUUUUUCUUUCCUUCGUCUUGAUGCAUACUGGUUUUCUUGUCUUCUCUUUUAGCAGUUCUGAGAAUAAUCUUGAAAGGUGUUAUACUUGCAGCUAUGGCCUCUUUCUCACUUUGAUUGGGGGCUUGCCUCCUUUCCUCACUUCUUGUUUCUCCUUAGCCUUGCGAGAAUCAGGAAUUGGCGGCUCUUGUCCAUCAAGGUUAAUUUCUAUCUUAUGAGUUUUUGGGGAUAAUUCAUCAAAUAUUUCUGGUUAUACCCCUUACAAGAUAUAUCUGAAUCCCCAAUGCAAGUCUUGAAUACACAUCUCAAUAGCGGAAGACUCGAAAAUUCGAUCCUUACAGUUUAGGCUUAGAUUUUUUCGAGCGAUUGAUAAAGUUAAUAACAUGUUCAUUCUUUCACUAGCACAUAUUUUAGAGUUCAAUUAUGCUGACAGUCCUUUUCGUGCUAUAGAAGCAAUUAAGGAAUUCCUACUCUAAUUGCUCCCAACUGUCAAUGCUGCUAGAUUCUAAAUCUGUGUACCAAUCAAACGUGUUACCCUUCAAUGAGUGAACAAAUUGCUUAACUAGCAAGUCACCAUUAGUGCCAGCAUUGUUACAAUUUUCGACAAAGUGCGCAAUAUGUUGUUUAGGGUUACCUUUGUCAUCAAAUUAUUGAAACUUUGAAAAUUGAAAUCCUACAAGCAUCUUCAAACAUUUACUCUUGUGGUGUAAGGUUUGAUAUAAUUGCUAUAUGACUUGGUAUUUCCACCAAUCUUGUCCUUGAUCGUACCUUUGAUAAACUCCUUUAAAUUAUCAACAUGAAUGGUACUAUCAGGAGAGAUUGAAAACUCCUUCAUUAUUCGUGACUUGGUAUCCUCUUUCUCUUUCUUCCUUGAUGAUGAGUUACCUUCAUAUUUUUUACCAUGGCCAUUAGUUUGGCUAUUUUGGCAUCUUGACUUUGCACGUGCCCUGCUAGCCCUUCGACAAUUUGGCAAGAUUUGAAAUUUGAUCUCUACGGUUGUGGUGUUAGUCAUCAUGAUGGGCAUUACCACAGAAGUAGCUAAAUUGCUUGAGCUAUCAGCAGAUUCAUCAUGGACUCCCUUCUUGUUGGGAAAAAUCUCAAAAUUUUUUCUUUCAACCACAGCAUUCGCCUUAACCCUAUCUACUAAUUUCUUAGCCUUGCUCCUUGUCAUAGGUGUAGUAUACUGCAUCUCCUGAGUUGUUGGGAUGCCAGCAACUGAGCCUUCAAGAGCAAAACUCAUCUUCUUGGACUCCAUUGAUUCUUGAAACAAGUAAGCUAUUCAAAGAAAAGAGAUGAAAAACAGAGAUGGUCCCACCAGACGUGUCAUAAAAUUUGUGAGCAUAAAUUUUGUUGCCUAAAAUAAAGACAAGAAAAUUUGCAUAAAUAUCAAAUUUAUUAAAUCAAAUAAUAAAUGGGUUAUAAUUUUUGAAAAUUCUUGAAUUAAAGAUAUUAAUCUUCUAAUUCUUCUCUUCAAAAACUUCAAUUGAAGGGUUGAAAAGACUUGUUUACCGAUCAAGAGGGUGUUUCCUACGAUUUUGACAUAGAAAACCGCUGAUUUGAUGAUGACGUUAAAUAGUUGAUGUUGGGUUUGGAUUUUAUUCCACCAAUCGUUCAUUUUGUUGGAUUUGAGUUUUAUACCACCAACUGUGGGAUAAAACCCAAUCCCAAUAAAAUGAACGGUUGGUGGGAUAAUACUCAAAUCCAAUAAAAUGAAUGAUUGGUGGGAUAAAAUCCAAACCCAACACUUGUAUCUUUAAAUCUUCAAUGUCGAUAGAAGGAGGAUUUAUUUUAACUUGAUUUGGAUUUGAAUUUAAGGGAAAAUGCUCUCGAGAGAAUUUGACAGAAUUUCUUCAAAAUUUAGAAAUUUCAAUGUGUUUUUGUACUAAGAGAAUACCUUUAUUUAUAGGCAAAAUAUGUAGAUUAUGUCUUCAAGAAAAUUCUCCAGAACCUUCUUGCGUUUGGGUAACUUGUACCUCAAGAAACUCAUUUAACUUAGGUUUAAAUAGUGGGCCUAUUCAAAUAAUCCAUUGUGAAUUAAUACAUCAAUUAAUCCACUUUAAUUUAAAUGGGUAACACAUUGAUUUGAUUUGAUUUAAUAGCCCAUAUAUCAUUGGUCUAUUUUGUCAAUCAAAACAUAAUAGACUGCUAUAAUUUAAUUUAAUGUAAUCAAGAUCAAUUUAAUUUAUUUAAUCUUGACUAAAUAAAUUUUCUUUGUCUACAGCAUGUACGUGUAAUUUUCCAAAUAAUGAUACUUUUCAAAGAGAGUUUUCAAAUAAUGAAAGUUCUAAAACAAGGCAUUCACCGAAUGCGUGAAUGUAUCUUUUUAAACAACGCAUUUAGUCAAUACGUUUUUAAGGAAAAAUGCCUAUACAAAUAAAAGAAUGAAUUCUAUAAAUGUGUCUUUUGAGGAAACAACACAUUUACUAAGUACGUUUUUUCACUCUUUGGGAAGAAGUUCAAAAAACACCACCAUUUGAAAGGUAAUUUUAGAAAAUCCCACUUUUUGAGAAUUUACUCAAGCUUGUACUUGACAAAAUGUGUUGGGAAAAUUGUGACGUCAGGUGAAUUGUAAAACUGUUGUGCCAUCGUAAUGUAUGUUUUGCACUAGAUUGAGUAAGAAUUAUAUCAAAAUAGUCGGCCACAAUAUAGGAAUGUGAAAACUUUGUGUUAAGUAAGUUGUAAUAUUUUUGUAUCAUCUAACGUAUAUUUGAAAACGAUUGAGAAUAUAAUAUAUGGAAACAACAGGUCACAAUGUUGAAAUGUCAAACCUCUUGUUUCAAACCAAAUACUUAUUAAACUCCUUCAUAUCGCUAACGAAUUUUGAUUCUGAAGUAAUAAUAGUUUUAUUUAAUUAUUUGCCUUUUUUGGAACAAUAUUAAAAUGUAGCCAUAAAUUUAAAUUCCAAAAUUGUUGAAUACUUGAGGAAUUCUAGAAAUGGCACUGAGAGUCAAAGUUCACCUUAUUCAAAAGUCACCAGCCAUCUCAGAGUGCAUGUUUCUAUUGAGUUUCAGGUUCAAUGUGUACCCACUUCCACUUUUGGCUGAUCAAUCAGGACUAAGGUUCCGUUUGAUAAAACUGAAUCUGAAUUCUGAAAUCUGAAUACUGAAACAAUUAAUUUGCUGAAUUUUAAGUUCUGAAAAGAAAUAUAUGAAUGUCUGAAUUUUAAUGUUAAAUCUAUUUCUACUGUUUGAUAAACAUUUAUAACUGAAUGCUUAAUAAGUUAAAUUUGACAAAUUUGCCCUUAAUCUUUUCAUCCAAAAAAGAAGUAGAACCUAUGAUUUAAUUAGGUAAAAAUGUUAGGUAUGAAAAUGACAAUAUUUAUUUUUAAAUCAAAUUAAUAUAAAAGAUGAAAUAUAUUAUAUGCGGAGUGGAGAAGAUGUAAAAAUCAUUCAAAAUGGAGAAAAAAGAAAUAGAAAAUCAUUAGAUAGAGAAUAUUAGAUUGUUUAAUUAGAUAAGAAUUUUGAACAUAAUUAACAAACAAUGGUAGAUUUGAUAGAUAAGAUAAGGUAAUUGAAGUAAUUCUAUUGAUUCUUAUCAGAAUUAAGUAUUCAGUUAGGAUUUUUGUGCUGAAAAAAAUACACACAAUUUCAGCACUACUUAACAAGUUCAGCAAAUAGAUUUUCAUUUAUCAAACAUUCAAAACAUCUAAAUGUCUAAAAAAAUUUAGAUUCAACACUUUUUUAUAUUAUUAAACAGACCCUAAGAGAAUAAAAUAACUUGCUUGCUGUUAGCGAUGGCAACGGGGCGGGGUUGGGGCGGGGGACCCCUCCCCCGUCCCCCGCCCCGUUGCCUAUUAGUUCCCCCUGUCCCCCGCCCCCCCCCCCGCUUCCCCCGCGGGGUUAAUAAAAUUUUAUUAUAAUUAAAUUUUAAUAAAUAAUCAAUUACUAAAAUAUCAACACAUCACCAAAUUAUUAUUCAUUGUAAUUUUACAAUUAAAACUCAUAAAAACAAUCAAACAAAAGUUAUUUGAAUACAAUCCAAUAUGAUGAAAUAAAUAUAACUAAAAUAGUUAAGUUUUCGCUUUUAGUACAAAUGCAAUCACUAAUUCAUUAUUGUGUUUGUGCUUUUCUUUUGAGAAAAAAGUGUUAUUCUAUUAAGUGUAAUUAGAAAUUUAGUAUAAAUGUAUUAGUAAAUUUAGUAUAACUAAUUAAUAAAUUUUAUUAGUAGACAUGUAUAAUUAUUCAUAUAAUUGAUAAUAUCAAUUAUAUUACAUAAACUACUAUACAUUAUAUAAUACAUCUAACUAAUAAUAUCAUUAUCAUAAGUUUAUAACUAAUUAACUUACAUAUUAUAUAUAAUUAUAUAUAUAUUUUUUUUAGGGUGGCGCGGCGGGGGAUGGGGCGGGGGUAUACUCCCCCGUCCCCCGCCCCGUUUCUAAGCGGGGGGAAAAAUUCCCCCCCCCGCCCCAACCCCCGCCCCGAGAGCCCCCCGUGGGCACCCGCCCCCAUUGCCAUCCCUACUUGCCGUUUUUAAAAAAGGAUUCAUUAUUUUUUCUUUGAGCAUUGGUAUCUCCACCCUCAAUGACACUAAUCUGGAUUCAAUAUGAGGAGUGUCCGUAGAGGCUGACUCUUACUCGAGAGUAAAGACUUGACCCAGAGCUUUUCAAGGCGUCAUCAUAUGUAGGAGUCAAACUUAUGAACUCUGUGCAUAGAUAAUUUAGCUCCAGUCUGUGGAAUGUCUUGAUGUUAGGUGAGUUGUAAUAUUUUGGUAUCAUCUAAUGAAAUUUUUAAAAGAUUGAGAAAUAAUAUAGAGCAAAACACCAAUUUAUUCCCUAAAUUAUUUUGCUAAAAUCAAAAUACUCCGUAAAUUUAUUUUGAGUCAGUUUAGUCCCCCAACUAUUUUUACAAAGCUGAAAUAGUCCUUAAACUUUAUUAUGAGCCAAUUUAGUCUCUCAACUAUUUUGUUUAAGUGAAAUAGUACCCCACCUUUAUUUAUUUGGCCAGUUUGGUCCUUGUUUGACUCAUCCACCCAAUUUAUCAACCUUGUGCACUAACAAUCAGGGGCAAAAUAAGAAAUUUAGUCAAUGCCCUUACUAAAAUGAUAGAAGAAUUAGAUAUCUGGCAAAAUUAAAAACAAAAUUGAAUCAUAUAGAGAACAAAAAAAUAUAGUGUUUCUUAUGGAGGAAAAAAAUGGAGCUGAUGCCUAAAAUCUCACAUGGAUCCAACUCAGUCCAUUGAAUGGAGAAAAGGGAAAAUAACACAACAAGAAUAUGUUAAAAGUUGGAAAAUGUGCUAUAAUUAUGAUUACUCCUUUAAGAAAUAAAGCUGAAAGAAGCUCAAUUUCUUUUUGUUUUCCAUAUUAUUCAAUUUCGUUGUCGAUUUUUCGAUAGAUGUAUGUUUUUUUUUUUGUUUUAAUAAGGGCUAUGAUUGGAUUUCCUAUUAUGCCAUUGGCUGUCGAUGCUACACUUGAUAAAUUAGAUGGAUCAUCCAAAUAAAGACAAAAUUGGCUAUGUAAACAUUAGUGAGGGACUAUUUCAGCUUAAGAAAAAUAGUUGAGGGACUAAAUUGGCUUAUAAUAAAAUUAGGGACUAUUUCAGCUUUGUAAAAAUAGUUGAGAGACUAAAUUGACUCAUAAAAUGUUUAGGGACUAUUUUGACAUUAAGGAAAUAGUUUUGGGACUAUAAACAUUAGGUCACAAUGUUGAAAUAUCAAAACCCAUGUUUUGGACCAAAACUCAUAGAACUUCUUCACGUCGCUAACGAAAUUUGAUUAUGAAGUAAUGCUAAUUUUAUUUAUUAUUUGUUUCCUUGCUGGUCUUCUGUCUUUUUGGUUAUUCCAAAAUUGUUGAAUAUUUAAACGAAUUCUAGAAAGGGCACUGAGAGUCAAAGUCUUAUUCAAACAGCCAGCUAUCUCAAAGUACAUAUUUUUUUAUUAUCAGGUUCAAUAUGUAUCUAUUGCAAUUUUUGAAUGACCAGCCAUGACUAAGAGAAUAAAAUAAUUCACUUGCUGUUUUUAGAUAUGAAUUCAUGACUGUCAGUAGUCUAUAAAUACACUUAUUGCUCACCACUCUUUGCACCGCAAAAUCUCUUCAAGAUCCAACAAACCCUCCUGUUCUUGGUCUUUGUCCAUUUGUGAAAAAACAAAUUAAAGCGUCAUGGCCCCUAUCACUUGUAGUGCUGAGAUGACCUCCCCAAUCCCUCCUGCAAGGUUGUUCAAGGCCGCCAUCCUUGAUGACCACCCUUAAUGCCACAGGCUAUUAAGAGUGUGGAAAUCCUUGAAGGAGAUGGUGGCGUUUGAACCAUUGAGUUGAGCACAUUUGGUGAAGGUUAGAUGUUAUAUUAAAUGUAGAACCCCAAAUUUAAGGAUCUAAUAAUAAUCAAUGCGUGCAGGGUUACAGAAUUGGAGGGAUAAAACAAAUACUCAAAAUAUACGUGGAAGAAAAGAAAAAUAAUAAAUUCAACUCACAAUAUUAUUGAAAUUUCAAACAAUGAAGAAAAUCAUACCACAAUGAAUUCAACUGGUUCUAAUAAUAAUCAAAGCAUACAAGGUUACAGAAUUAAAAGGAUAAAACAAACACUCAAAAUAUAUGUGGGAGAGAAGAAAAUAAUAAAUUCAACACACAAUAUUAUUGAAAUCUCAAACAAUGAAAAAAGUCACACCAUAAUAGAAAACCUUGCUAAUGCUUCUAGAUUCUUUCUCUUGAGAAACCAACCUAAAUAAUGUUCUAUUUAUAAUCUACCAAACUUGUUAGGAAAGAAACCACUUGCAUAAGAAAUUACCAAAUAAUACAGAAAUUCCUAAAUCACACAACUACUAAAAACAUAACUCAAAUAAAACUAAAAAAUAAAUAAAUAUUACUAGGCUUAGUUUAAUUUGUCAACAUUGCCUCCUUUAAACCAUACUAUCCAUUGAGAUAGGUUCAACACCAUCUCGAGCAAUAAUUUCUAUGCAAAUCUAUGUUGUAGUACACUUGACAUGAAACUCUAACUUGUUACCAGUUAUUAAUUUCAUUUUUACACGUAACAGUGGACACACUAUGUAUUGUGUAAACAACUUCUCAGCAAUUUCUUCUUGAUCAAAGAACUCACUUAUACAAACCCAUUCAUCACCAGAAUCACCAUAUUUACCACCAAUGUAAGUGCCUAAAAAUACAAAAUCAUAGAUUUCUUUCUCGCUAAAAUUAUCAUCACCAAAUAAUUCAAAAUAACCACUACUACAAUCAUCCAAAAUUUUCAUACUGUCAGUCAACUCUUUUGGAGUAAAAUAUUUUUCAACUCCGAUGACAUCCAUAUCUAUUAAAUCAAACAUUCUCCCAUCACUUUGAAGAGAGUCCGAACCAACGAAUUUUUCAACAACAAUUUCAUGUUCUCUUCUCUUAUCAAAUCAAAAUUUUUUUCUUCUUUUGUCAAAUUACCAUAUUAUUUUUUUCAACAAAUUCAUUACUUCUAAUUUCUCCAAACAAGGUACGCAAAUCAAAACUAUCAAUUGAUUCAAAAUUUUCGAUAUCACCCAUAUUAUCAACAAAUCUAUCAUUUUUAAAAUCCACAAACCAAUACCAAUAAAUAGACUUCGGUUUGAAAGCAUAAUUUCUCCCAAUCGUGUGCAAAACAUAGUAAAUAUCCUUCCAAAAUCUCUAAAGUAUUUUAAUUAGUACGACCAAUAAAGGUUUUAUAAACACUUUUUGCCAUUAUUUUACGCAUCACUUGAAAGAAUAAUUGUGCCUUUUUCUUAAAAACAUGUUUUGACAACUUACUUGCAUCAACCCAACAAAGAAUAUCAUCCAAAUUACAUUGUUUAACAUAUUUUUCCACUAUUAAAAUCCAACCAAAAUAUGUAUGUCCAUUUGUGCUUAUAGGAGUCAAUAUGAAAAAUUUUUCACCGUGAAUCAGAUCUUUAUAAUAUUCCAUUAUUUAACAAUUUGUAUACCUGGAUAAAUUUUUUUCCUCCAUCCUGUCAUGUUUUCUUGGCCUCCCUGGUUGACUAACCAAAUUAUUGUUGUAUGUAUACCCAUGCUCGUCAAACCUCAUUUGUGUACACUCGUAAGGAGUGGUUCUGAGCUUCUUGUGAAUGCUCAGUACCAAGAAGUAGAAGAGAGAAUGCAUAAGAGAGAAUUAACUUGGCUAUAGAAAUAGGAAACAAUUGAGGGAUUUUUUAAGAAAUUAAUUCUCCAGCUACCACUUUUGGAAAUUUUCUAUCAACAACUAGUUACCAAAACACUAGCACAUAAUAAGAAAUCAGGAUAAUUUCAGAAACCUCCCUUGAGGCUUUUAAUAACCUCAAGAAGCUCCCCUCAAUAUUUUAAAAUUACACGUACCUUCCCUAUUGGUGCAAAAGUACUCUACUACCCCUAAUAGGAUACUCAAAAGACUUUUUUUUAUGGGAAAAAUGAAGCUCAGAAAUCCAAGCAAAAUCAAAAAAAUCAAUUGAUUUUCUCUUUUAGCCUUUUACACUUUUGCCUUCUACCUUUGCUCACUUUCCCAUCCCAAUCUUCCUACACCCGCUUUCCCAAUCCCCUUUCCCCAACUUUUCUCCUCUACUUCAAGACCAAUUUUUGUCUAUCUAUCCUGGCUUGUGCUUUGUUCCAUUCCCUUCCCUUCUCCUUCUUUGAUUUCGCCUACAUCUCCCUUUCUCUUUGCAAAAGUGACUAGGCUCAUGUCUCUCUUUUUCCCCCCUAUUCUAAGUGUAGUGGGUUUGAUUAUUUUGCAUCUAUUUUAUUUGAUUUGGGUUGAUUAUGGGUGAUAGAACUUGGCGAUGUCAAAUAUCAAAAGUUUGAUAGAUGGAUAUUGGGCUUUAGACAAUGAUUUGCUGAAAAAAAUGGCUGCAAUGAGACAAAGAGGCAAGGGGAUUUGAGUGUGGGGUUGAUUGUUGAUAAAUUGUUGUUUUGGACAAAAUUUGAGGUUGAGUUUUAUUAAAUUUGAUAGCAAGUGGCGAGUUUUGUUCAGGUUGCGGGAAAUAAAUUAGAUUGUGGUUUCUUGGGCACCCACAGUUGUUGGAAUUGGUUUUGAUUCAAAUUAGGGUGGUUACUUGAUUUUCCUAAUAGUGUUGCUUAAAAGCACACGAUCAUCAAAAUUCCUUAUUUUUAUCUUUUGUUUUUUCUUGUAGAAAAGAUUUCACGACUUUCGUGAUAGUCUAAUUUGGAAGAAGGCAAUCAAGGGAUGCAAUCAACAUUUAGCAAAAGCUCUUGUUCUUUCCUUUGUAAUUUUUAGGGUAAAAAGGGUAGUUUAGGGUAUUUGAAGGAAAUGAUAGUCUAUUGGGUCUAUUUUCAAGCAUAAAUAGUGAACGUAAGGGAGGUUGGUGUAAUUUCUGAAACCUAAGGGAAAUUGUCUGAAAUUGUUCGAGACCUCAGAGGAGGUUUUCGAAAUUAUCCCUAAGAAAUCAAAUGCGAAACUUGAUUAGUACACGCACACACGACACCGCACCACGCCGCGCGUGUGUUGAGGAUUGGUGUCCGUAACCAACGACAAGCAGGUUUUCAAUUUUUUUUUCCUUUCCUGGAUUCUCCAGAGAUGGUGUCAGCUUCUAUUAUUGAUGAGCAGGAGGAAAUCCACAAUAUACAGUACACAUCACCCAUAUUCUUUUUAAUUGAACAAUGUAUGAAAUUAUGGUGAUUCGAAAUUAAAUUAUAUGUUUAUUGGGCACUGAAUCCAAAAUAAGAGUUGGAAAUGUAUUGUGACAACAAUUGUUAACAUAGGCCACAAAUGAUCAAAACAAAUAUUUAAGGUUUAAUAUGACAUUAUGGGUUCAGAAUAUAGUUACUUGUUAUGAAACAACUAAAAGUAUGGAUAUCCAUUUGUAUUUUCAAGAGGAUCAAUUCAUAAUUCAUUGCUCCCAAGAGGAUUAAUUCAUAAUACAUUGCUACAUUAUGUAAAGGAAUUGCAUUGGAUGAACGGUUUCAAUCCAUAAAAGCUAUUUAUGUAUUGGAUGAACCGUUUCAUAUGGCUAUUCAUGUUCUUGUAGUAAUGAGUGUUUAAUAGAAUUGAUGUACCUUUAAUUUUGUAGUACCUAUAUAUACAGGUACUUUGGCACCUCUUGGGUAUACUUUUUGAUUAGUUGGAAUAAUAAGAAAAUUAUUCUUCAUUUCUGUACUUCUUUCUCUAAUAUUUCAAUUCCUAUUAUAGUAGUUCAUUUUUUUUAGUUUUACAACACGUUAUUAGCAUGAGUCUCUACUUUUGAACAAAAAGGUGAAAACGGAGCCUCUACCUUAAAAAAAAGUGAAACACGAGAUUCUGCCAAAAUUUUGCCCGUAUUUUUCCGGCAACUUCUGUCCACUUAUUGAGAAAUGGAUGCCAAAUAUUUGGGAUUAAAUAAUGGUGAUGAUGAUAUUUGUCUCAUUGAUAGUGCUACUACGCACACUAUAUUGAAAAAUAAAAAAAAAAUUUCUUGUAUGAAAAUGGGAGAGACAAAUGUUAAUACCAUAACUGGUAGUGCAAAAUUGAUUGAACGCUCCGGAAUAGCCUCUCUAUUUCUUCAUGAAGGGACUAAAAUUGUCGUAAAUAAUGCACUACUGUCUCCCAAGUCUCGGAGAAAUUUAUUGAGUUUUAAAGAUAUCUGCGAAAAUGAAUACUAUAUAGGGAUAAUGACUGAGACAAAUGGAGAAUUUUUAUUAAUCACAAGUAUCAUUUCUGGGCAGAAAUGCGUAGUAGAAAAAUUACCUUCUUUUUCUUCUAGCUUAUAUUAUGCACAAAUUAGUGCAAUUGAAAUUUAUCACCUAGUAGACCAGAAGUCUACUCAUCCCAAUAAUUUUAUGAUUUGGCAUGAUCGUCUCGAAAAUACUGAAUCUAUAAUGAUGAGACGAAUAAUCAAGAAUUUACAUGGUCACUCAUUGAAAAAUUAAAAGAUAUUAAAAGCAAAUGAAUUCUCCUGUGUUGCUUGUUCCCACGGAAAAUUAAUUAUUAGACCAUCACCAGUUAAAGUUGGGACUGAAUUCCCUACAUUUCUAGAACGAAUUCAUAGUGAUAUAUGUGGACUCGUAGAUCCACCAUGUGGACCAUUUCGAUAUUUUAUGGUGCUAAUUGAUGCAUCAACUAGAUGGUCACAUGUAUUUUUAUUAUCUACUCGCAACUUGAUAUUUGCGAGAUUGCUUGCUCAAAUAAUUAAAUUGCGAGCACAAUUUUCAGACUAUCUAAUAAAGAAAAUUCAUUUAGAUAAUGCUGGUAAAUAUUCGUCACAUGCUUUUGACAAUUAUUGCAUAUCUAUUGGAAUAACUAUUGAACAUCUUGUAACUUAUGUUCACACACAAAAUGGUCUAGCCGAAUCAUUUAUUAAAUGGUUACAAUUAAUUGCUAGACCAUUGUUGAUGAGGUCUAAACUUCCUUCAUCUGCUUGGGAAUAUGCUAUAUUAUAUACAGCAAUACUUGUGAGAAUUAGACCGACAAGUUAUCAUACUUAUUUUCCUCUAUAAUUAACUUUUGGUUAUAAGUCAAAUAUUUCUCAUUUACGAAUAUUUGGUUGUUCGGUUUAUGUUCGAAUUGCACGGCCCCAAUGUCGUAAAUUGGGUCCACAAAGAAGAUUGGGGAUAUAUGUCGGAUAUAAAAUCACCUUUAAUUAUUAAGUAUAUGGAACCAUUGACAGGUGAUUUAUUUACUGCAAGAUUUGCAGAUUGUCAUUCUAAUGAAUCACAUUUUUCGACAUUAGGGGGAGAUAAAAAUCAAUCGAAAAAGAAAAUCACUUGAAAAAUAUCAUUCAAUUUUCUCGAUUCUCGUACCAAAGAAUGUAAACUAGAAGUUCAAAGGAUUAUACAUUUGCAAAAAAUUACAAAUCAACUACUGGACGUAUUUAAUGACUCCAGAAGAGUUAUUAAAUCACAUAUUUUUAUUGAAAAUACUCCGAUUAAAAUUAAUGUCCUUGAAGGACAAAUUACAAGUGUUAAUGAGUGUAAAGUGCGCCUGAAGCGUGGGAGACCUCUUGGUUCUAAAGAUAAAAAUUCUCGAAAGAAAAGAGAAAUUGAUGAAUCAACAAUUAGUGACAAAAUUCAACCUCCUGAAGAAGUCGCUCCUAAAGAGCCAAUUCUUGAAGAUAAUGAAAUUAUAGAAAAUUCAAUAAAUUUUGUCGCUUCAGGAAAAAGUUGGAACAAAAAAAAAUUAUUAAUAGUAUUUUUGCAUAUAAUGUAGCACUUGUUAUUAUGGUAGGUAAUGAAGAUCGUGAGCAUAGAUCGGUUGAUGAAUGUCGACGUAGAAAUGAUUGGCCAAAAUGGAAAGAUGCGAUUCAAUCUGAAUUGGACUUACUAGCUACAAGAAAAGUUUUUGGGCCUGUAGUCCAAACACCUGAAGGUGUAAAGUCAGUAGGAUAUAAAUGGGCAUUUGUGAGAAAAAGAAAUGAGAAAAAUGAAAUCGUGAGGUAUAAAGCAAGACUUGCAACCCAAGGAUUUUCACAAAGGCCUGGAUUUGAUUAUGAUUACACGUAUUCACCUGUAGUGGAUGCUAUCACAUUUAGAUAUCUUGUGAGUUUUGCAGGACAUGAAAAAUCAGAUAUGCAUCUAAUGGACGUCGUUACUGUAUAUUUAUAUGAAAAUUUUGAAAAUGAUAUUUAAACGAGAAUCCCUGAAGGAUUCAACAUGCCUGAAGCAUGCAAAUCAAAUUUUAAAGAUAUUUAUACUAUUAAAUUACAAAGGUAUUUGUAUGGGUUCAAACAAUCUGGACGUAUGUGGUACCGCCUCAAUGAAUGUUUAACUAAAGAAGGCUAUACCAAUAAUCUAAUACAUCCAUGUGUCUUUAUCAAGAAAAAUGGACUAAUUUUAUGAUAAUUGUUGUCUAUGUUGAUAAUCUUAAUCUGAUUGGAACUCUUGAAGAGAUUCAAAAUAGUGUUGAAUAUUUGAAGAAGAAGUUUGAAAUCAAAGAUUUUGGAAAAACAAAAUUCUACAUUGAUUUACAAAUUGAGUGAUAGGUUGCAAUUUUAUCAUUUAUUUUAUUAUUAAUUUUCCCUAUUACUUAACCCAAUGUGAAUUAAUUAUUAGAUUCUACUCACUUUUAGUAUUUUACAUAUAUUUCAGGGAGUAGAACGAAAAUACCAUAAUAAGUGCCGAUUUGACAGUUAUCAGGAAAGAGUUCAAGUAGCAGGCAUCCAGGGCAUUUUUGGAACAAGGAGAUACAAGUCCUUUUUGGUAAUUCGCAGAGCGCAGCAUUAAAAGGAGGAACGAAGGGCUGAAGUAGGGAGUCUUCUUCCCCCUGGGAGGAACCGCCGCACAGCAGAGGGCUGUCUGGUCCUCUUAGUUUUUCCGUUUCUUUAGUUUUAGCUUCGGAUUUUGACUUUUCUUCUCGUAGGAAUUUUGGGUAGCCUUGAGCUUAGCAACUUUUGUUGACCCUUUUUUGGCCUUUUAGCUAGUUUGUUCUUACGCAUGGAAGAUGGCUGAAUAGCUGAGGCUUGUUCUUUGUUUUUCUUUGACUUUUCCUUUUGGUUUGCUUCCUGCGGACGCCCAGACCGAAGGAAAACUAUGAAGUCCCUUUUGUAGCUUUCUCUCUUUAUUAAAUAGACGAAUUGAAUUCCCUCAACUUGCGAAUUGAUGGCCGCAGCUUUUGCUUCAAUUUCUUGUGGGUUUAGUUCAUUAAUUAUGAACUAAUUCUACAAUUCUAGUCAAGGGGACAACUGACGAUUUGGUUCGACAAUUACUGUGAGAUCGAAUCUGUUUUAAUUAUUUUCUUCAUUUAUUGGUAUUUAUAUGUUCCUUGAUUUUAAUUGCUAUGGCCUUGUGUAUGAUUGAUUAGUGCGCAAUAAUUAAUUAUUCAUAUAGGCUAUUUUGCUAAAUAGAGGUAAUUGAAUCCGUAAUUGUUCGUUAUCUCUAUCUUAGUAGCAACUGGCGUAAUUGGGUUUAUGUCAGGGGAGCAUAUGAUCUAGCUUAAACAAACCCUCGUAGCGUGUUUGUUGGUUAGGAUUGGGCCUUUCUAAUUAUUAAUGCAAUCUAGAAAUUAAAUCUUACGGUCGUACCUAGGGUUGUUUUUGGGUUAGAGAAAUAGCUAACGGUCGUACCUUAGCUAUCGAUAAAUUAAGGAAGGGUUGGUUGUUUAUCGCGUGCAUGACAACUAUAACCAAUCUAUUAAUAAAUGUUGGGAUUAUUUUUGCAUCAAUGAUCAGUGCAUGAACCAUUUCUGAAGUAUACCCUUGGCUAGAGUUUCUCUUAGUUAUUUCUUUUAAUUAAUUAUUUUCUGCAGUUAAUUUAUUUAGUUAGCAUUUAAUCCAAAACCCCCCAUACUUUGGACUCUAAAAGAAACAAUUACUCCCAGUCCCUGUGGAUUCGACCCUGCUCACCGCUAUCUACAGAAAUCACUUUUAGUUUGAGCAGGUAUUUAUUAUUGCACAGGCUUCGACGACCUGUCAAUCUUUGGCGCCGUUGCCGGGGACUGGUGCCAGAUUAAAUUGUUUCUUUUUGAGUUUAUCUUGUUUUCAUUUUUUUAAUUUAUUUUUCUCUUAUUUUUUAUUAUUAUUAUUAUUUUUUUUAUGGCUGCUAACAUUCCAUAUUUUGAUGAUAGACUGGAUUUUGUUCCUGAAUGGGGUUAUGAGACUCAUGUUUUUCCUAACGAUCAAUGGGCUGUUGCAAAUUGUGGAACUUAUUUUGACUCAAGUUAUUCAACUGACACAUGCCCCGUAUUUCAAGAUAAUUUAAGUUCUCCACUUGAUACUUUUGGAGAUUUUUCACCCCAAUAUCAAACGUGGUAUGACCCUUAUUCAAACGGGUAUGAUCAAGGAUGGUGGGAUAAUUCCAAUUUUGAUUAUGCGACCGGGCCAAUGGAUUUUCAACAGCAAGAGUCUCAGCAAUCAUCCUCCGUGUCAGGUAUGUCUCUUGAAGAAAUGAUAGGUUUACUAAUUGCUAAUUCAAAUCGAUUUCAUCAGGAGACACAAGCGAGCCUAAAUCGAUUUCAUCAGAGGACACAAGCGAGCUGUCGCGACCUGGCGGAUCAACUGCGUCAAUUGACAGCCAGGAUGCAGCGAUUAGAGGCUCACCUUGAAGAAUUGCCCUCGCAAACCAAUAUCAAUCUUGAGGAAGAUGAGAGUGCAAUUGUCCGGGCAAAUGACAUGGAACUGCAAGAGUUUCAAGAAAACGGAUUUAAAGAUGCAGUUGAAAAGGAAGCUGAAGUGCAAGAAAUGAGACUCCAAGAUCAACUCGUUCAAGUGAAUGAAUCCAGUGAACAAUCUCCAAAUGCGGUGACAUCUUCUCCACUCCUUAAUCAAUAUUUUCCUGGCUCCUAUUCUUCAACUCCUGUUACUGAAAUUGAUUUUAUUAUACCAGAAAAUUUAAAAUUUCAUGACAGGAAUAAGUUAAGAGUGGAGAUGGCAAAAUAUCUUGAACCAAUGAAUGCGUGUGAUGGAGGAGUGAGUGGAGAAUGCAGAUCAUUGUUGACUUGUUUAGCGCCAUUUACUAGUCCAUGGAAGCCCGUAACUCGUGUGCCCAAGAAUUACUCCAUCUAUGAGGGUUACCAGGAUCACGUUGAAGAUGAAGCAUUGAAGCGAGCCACAAGAUUUUAUCCUCCAUGAGCAAAACAUGAUAAUGUCUAGCCAAAGACAUUAAAGAAAGGCGCUCAUUGGGAGGCAACCCAAUUUCUUUUAGUUGUUUGUUUGAUUUUAUUUGUUAGUUUAAAUCUGUCUUCCUUGAAUUUGACUGAUUUUGGGUGUUAAUUUUCGUUUUUACUGAUUUGUAGGUGACCUUCAGUCAUGACGCGCCCGCGUGGUGACGUGCAGGAAGCUCACGAUCAGAAACUUCUGGGAGCUCUCUUACCCUCAUGACGUGCCCGCGUCAAGUCACCUGGAGAGUUCCAGAUUCCGUGCCUUCAUGGUGUGCCCACGUCACGUUCACGGGAGAGAUAAGUAUUUAAAAAAAAAAUUCAAAAACGAUUGUUGAUUGUUGGUUAUCUCUGCUUUUGAAUCUCGAAAAUAAAAUUUGCUAAUGAAAAUAAAUUUCAAAAAAAUAAAAAAAAAUUUUUUAAAAAAAAAAAUUUAAAUUUUUGUUUCACGGUAGCUUAGAUUUUCAAAUCCUAAAAAAAAAAAAAAACACAGAAACUCUUUCUUAUCAACGUAGCUUUAGUGUCAAAUAUUUUAAAAAAAAAAAAGUCUCAAAUGAAAAAAAAAAAGGGCUUUUCUUUUUCUUUCUUUUCUUUCUUUCUUCUUCUUUCUCUUUUCUGUCUUCCUUCUCCCCUGUUUCUUCUUCCUCUCUGUUGACCGAAGCCCUCUGUCCGCCGCCGCUGCUGAAGCGCCCUCAGCCGUCGCGCAGCAGCUCCUCACUCGAAGACGCCGCGGCCACAGCACCUCUGCACGCGGCCUCCACCUCUCCAUCGCGCGCCGUCAAGAGCUCCGCCGACCCACGACGCGCGAGGCACCAGCUCGCGCGCCUCCCCCACCUAGCAACUGCUGGCCGACCAGCCCCACCACCAGCCCGCGCCGCACCUGCUGGCCGACCUAUCAACUCCUAAGCUCGCGAACCUCCUCAGCUCAGCUCCACCAGCGAGCUGCUCCUCGCUCACUCCAUCGCGUGAAGACCAGGCGAGCACGGCCCGCAGCCUCUCACCGCCACUGCGCACCUCUGACCAGCUCGCAGCACCUCUCUCUGCCCUCCGUGCGCUGCCCGCGCGUGGCACCAGCGCCUCCACAGCUCGUCGACGAAGCCCAAGCUGACAGACCACGCCGCUCGUCCACUUCCACCACUCGCGACGCACAGAUCAGCGCUGCCGUUGGUUGCCCAACCUCCCUGGUGCCAGGUUUUUCUUACUAAUUUUGUGGUCUACGAUUCCAAUUUCUUGAUGAUGGGAUUUUUGAUGAUUACGAUUUCAUUGAGUAAAUUUGAUUGGCUUGCAUCUGUGUUACUGGAGCCCGUGGGUUGGGUUAUGACCUGCAACUGAUUUGCCUAGUCUAAUAUAAUUGUCAUUUGUUUGGGCUCUUGAAGUACUGUCUAGUGUUGUUUGUAUUUCUUAGUGAAUUGAGUUUGCCGUUUGAUUUCAUUCUUCCCUGUGCGUACACCAGUGGUACUGGUUGUGGUAGUUGCCUAACAUUUAUUCAUUCUCAUUGGUGUGGCUGUUGGGAUUGAAAGCUCAGAACUUGUGACUAAGUUGUUAUUGCCUAAAUGCUGACCUGCUAUUACUAGACUUGCUGAUUUCUUGGGAGCAUUUGUUGGGAUUUUGGGUGGAUAUUAGCAAGUGGUAUAUUGCUUGAUUUUUUUUACCUGUGCCUUGCUUGGAGUUUCUAGUGCAUGUUUGGGGCUGCCUUGGGAGUUAUUUGCCACAAUUGAUUGCCGUUUUGGUUUCUUCUGUUUCUGGUACUGCUUGUGCUGAUGGAUUUAUCAGUGUUUUGGGCGGCUUAUUUGAAUUGCUUCUUCCCUGUGUGUUUGGUCAGCUGUUUGCUUGAAAACCCAAACCCUUGUGCUUAUAUUUGCUCCCAGUUGAGUUAUGUGUUGGACUUUCCAAUUGGUGACAACUUUUGGGCUUUAGGGGUGAGUUCAUUUUGUCAUUAUUUGCUACCUUGUUGGGGUCAUUUUUGGUUUCACCUGAGUCUAUUGUCCUGCCUUCUGUUUUGAGUCCAUUGGAGUGACGUGAGUUGAGUAAUUUCUGCUUUUGUUUGUUGAUUUGGAAGGCUACUGUGCCACUUUCAUUGCUUAUUGCUUAGUGAUUAUGUCUAAUUAACAAUGUGCAUAGCAUGGCGCAGAAUUUGGCAGCAUUCAUGUAGCAUGCCGGUCUUAUACCUCAAUUGGGUACCUCUAUUUGGUUGGCUGCGUUCUUAUUGUCCAAUAUCUAUGCUGUUUUCAAUGGAAUUGCUGAUCUUGGGUUAAGACUUUAGCUGGCCAACUGGAGCCAUUUGUUGAGAUUUUGGGUGAACUGCAAUACUGCACUCGUUUGUUCAAUUGGGAGGUUUCUUUUGGUAUUCUGGUUGAGUUAUUUCUAAAGUUGCCUGAUGAAUUGAGAGACAUAGAUGGCUAUUGCUCUGCCCUGAUAUUGCUUGGUUGCCAGUGCGCAUUCUCUAUGCCAAGUGGCAAGGAUGUCUCAGAACUCGGCUUCCCUCCACUGUUCCCUCCUAUCCCUUAGCUGUUCAGCAGGGAAGUCUCGUUAUCCUCUUCGCUUUAAUUAUUUUAUUACCUCCAUUGAGGACAAUGUAGGAUUUAGGUGUGGGGGGAGCAGUUAUGGUGCUAGUGUCUUUCGUUCAUUUUCUUUUUCUUCUUUUUAGUGAUUGGCUCGUAAGUGCAUGCCAAGGUUUGAUGUUGGAUUAUUGCCUCUAUUUCUACUUUUGCCAAGUUUUAAUAAUAAAAGGGUAUCAAGUUAAUGUGGUUGAAUCCAAAAACAUCUCUUUGGUGAAUAUCAAUAAUUGUUUUACUCUUAUAAUUUUUUGGUUAACUUUCCUAGGCAUAGGGAAUGAUUAUUGGCAUUUUUAGUGAAUUGGUCCGGUUAUUAACCUUAGUUCUCCAUGUUUGAAAAUGAGGCUAGCUGAUGCAAGUUUUCUUUUGGUUCUUGUGUUAUAUUGAGUUUUUGUGAUUUUUAGCUCUGAAUAAACUUGACUGUACUCCGCUAUUAGUUACUACUGAGUAACCGGGGAUCUGCACCUAAAAGUGUUGAUUCUCGCGUCAAAAGAUAGUAGUUCCUAUGAGUACGUGGUCACGUGGCGAUAGAAGCUGAGUAACCGGGCUCCUUCAUCUGGCCAAUGUUGGAAUUCGCGUCAAAAGGCUCUAAUGGCUAGCGACUAAGUCUUUUGUUACUAUUGAAAAAAAACGAGAAAGAAGAAGAAGAAAAAAAAAAGAAAAAAAAGAGAAAAGUAGAAAAAUGUGAAAGAAAAAGUGAAUGCUGUGUUAGUGUAUAAUAAAAGUCAGCUUGCCGAUUUAUGGAUUUAAUGUUGAGAUUUUGGUUAAUAGUUGGACCAUUUGCUGAUAACUGUUAUGCGUCAUUCCUUUUUCUUAGAUUGGUUAACAUGAAAUUAGAGGAAUUUAUGGUUUAGAAGCUAACCGGAGUGAUGUUUCUUGGACUAGACCAUUGAUGCUUGAUUAUUAUAUUUUCUUGGUAUCUUGGCAAUAUGGUAGAUGGAGUAAUAGCCAUUGGCAAGUGUUGGUGUUUAUUUGCUGUUCUCAUGCUUGAGGACAAGCAUGGUUUAGGUGUGGGGGGAAUUGAUAGGUUGCAAUUUUAUCAUUUAUUUUAUUAUUAAUUUUCCCUAUUACUUAACCCAAUGUGAAUUAAUUAUUAGAUUCUACUCACUUUUAGUAUUUUACAUAUAUUUCAGGGAGUAGAACGAAAAUACCAUAAUAAGUGUCCGAUUUGACAGUUAUCAGGAAAGAGUUCAAGUAGCAGGCAUCCAGGGCAUUUUUGGAACAAGGAGAUACAAGUCCUUUUUGGUAAUUCGCAGAGCAGCAGCAUUAAAAGGAGGAACGAAGGGCUGAAGUAGGGUCUUCUUCCGCCUGGGAGGAACCGCCGCACAGCAGAGGGCUGUCUGGUCCUCUUAGUUUUUCCGUUUCUUUAGUUUUAGCUUAGGAUUUUGACUUUUCUUCUCGUAGGAAUUUUGGGUAGCCUUUAGCUUAGCAACUUUUGUUGACCCUUUUUUGGCCUUUUAGCUAGUUUGUUCUUACGCAUGGAAGAUGGCUGAAUAGCUGAGGCUUGUUCUUUGUUUUUCUUUGACUUUUCCUUUUGGUUUGCUUCCUGCGGACGCCCAGACCGAAGGAAAACUAUGAAGUCCCUUUUGUAGCUUUCUCUCUUUAUUAAAUAGACGAAUUGAAUUCCUUCAACUUGCGAAUUGAUGGCCGCAGCUUUUGCUUCAAUUUCUUGUGGGUUUAGUUCAUUAAUUAUGAACUAAUUCUACAAUUCUAGUCAAGGGGACAACUGACGAUUUGGUUCGACAAUUACUGUGAGAUCGAAUCUGUUUUAAUUAUUUUCUUCAUUUAUUGGUAUUUAUAUGUUCCUUGAUUUUAAUUGCUAUGGCCUUGUGUAUGAUUGAUUAGUGCGCAAUAAUUAAUUAUUCAUAUAGGCUAUUUUUUGCUAAAUAGGGGUAAUUGAACCCGUAAUUGUUCGUUAUCUCUACCUCAGUAGCAACUGGCGUAAUUGGGUUUAUGUCAGGGGAGCAUAUGAUCUAGCUUAAACAAACCCUCGUAGCGUGUUUGUUGGUUAGGAUUGGGCCUUUCUAAUUAUUAAUGCAAUCUAGAAAUUAAAUCUUACGGUCGUACCUAGGGUUGUUUUUGGGUUAGAGAAAUAGCUAACGGUCGUACCUUAGCUAUCGAUAAAUUAAGGAAGGGUUGGUUGUUUAUCGCGUGCAGGACAACUAUAACCAAUCUAUUAAUAAAUGUUGGGAUUAUUUUUGCAUCAAUGAUCAGUGCAUGAACCAUUUCUGAAGUAUACCCUUGGCUAGAGUUUCUCUUAGUUAUUUCUUUUAAUUAAUUAUUUUCUGCAGUUAAUUUAUUUAGUUAGCAUUUAAUCCAAAACCCCCCAUACUUUGGACUCUAAAAGAAACAAUUACUCCCAGUCCCUGUGGAUUCGACCCUGCUCACCGCUAUCUACAGAAUUAAUUUUAGUUUGAGCAGGUUUUAUUAUUGUACAGGCUUCGACAACCUGUCAUUGAGCAUUUGAAAAGUGAAAUUUUUGUCCACCAAACUGCUUAUACCCGGAAGGUAUUAAAGUAGUUUUAUAUGGAUAAGGCAUAUACAUUAAGUACCCCAAUGGUCAGAUCAUUAGAUCCUAAUAAGGACCCUUUUAGACCGCGAGAGGAAGUUGAAGAGAUACUUGGUCCUAAAGUACCAUAUCUCAGUGCAAUUAGUGCACUAAUGUAUCUUGCUAAUUGUACAAGACCUGAUAUAUCAUUUGCAAUAAAUUUAUUAGCAAGAUUUAGUUCUCGCUCACAAGACGACAUUGGAAUAGUAUUAAACAUAUUUUUUGUUAUCUCCAAGGAUCAAUUGAUCUUGGCUUAUUUUAUUCAAAUAAAUCUAAACUUGAAUUGUUUGGUUAUGUUGAUGCUGGAUAUUUAUUUGGCCCACAUAAAGUAAGAUCUCAGACUGGUUAUCUAUUUACAUAUGGAGGUACAACCAUUUCUUGGCGAUCUACAAAGCAAUCAUUAGCUGCCAUUUCAUCGAAUCAUGCUGAAAUAAUAGCAAUUCAUGAAAUUAGUUGAGAAUGUGUUUGGUUAAAAUCAAUGACCCACUAUAUCCGGAAAAGUUGUGGGUUAUCCUCCGAAAAAGAAAAUCCUUCAACUAUAUUAUAUAAAGAUAAUGCAGCUUGUAUAACUCAAUUGAAAGGAUGAUAUAUUAAAAGAGAUAGAACGAAAUAUAUUUCACCAAAAUUCUUUUUUACUCAUGAUUUACAAAAGAAUGGUGAAAUUGAUGUGCAACAAAUCUGAUCAGAUAAUAAUUUGACAGAUUUAUUUACCAAUGCAUUGCCAACUGCAAUAUUUAAGAAAUUGGUGAAGAAUAUUGGAAUGCGACGACUAUAAGAUCUCAAAUGAUAUUUGCAUCCGGGGGAACAAUCAAUACACAAGAAUAGUGUACUCUUUUUCCUUCAUUAAGGUUUUUAUCCCGUUGGAUUUUUUCCUAGUAAGGUUUUAAUGAGACACAUUCUUUGUGUAAUGGACAUCCAAUGGGGAGUGUUAUGAAACAACUAAAAAUGUGGAUGCCCAUUUGUAUUCUCAAGAAGAUCAAUUCAUAAUUCAUUGCUUCCAAAAGGAUUAAUUCAUAAUUCAUUGCUACAUUAUAUAAAGGAAUUACAUUGGAUGAACGGUUUCAAUCCAUAAGAGCUAUUCAUGUAUUGGAUGAACCAUUUCAUAUGGUUAUUUAUGUUCUUGUAGUAAUGAGUGUUUAAUAGAAUUGAUGUACCUUUAAUUUUGUAGUACCUAUAUAUAGAGGUACCUUGGCACCUCUUGGAUGUACUUUUUGAUUAGUUGGAAUAAUAAAAAAAUCAUUCUCCAUUUCUGUACUUUUUUUUCUAAUAUUUUAAUUCCUAUUAUAGUAGUUCAUUUUUUUUUUAGUUUUACAACAUUACUCAAAGAAGAGGGUUAUUGGACUAUAUGUUUAUUGACCUCUACUAGGGAUGACAAUGGGGGCGGGUGACGGCAAUGGGGGCGGGUGACCGCGGGCACCCGUCCCGCGGGGGGCUAAUGGGGAGAGGGAUGGGGCCGGGGCGGGGGGUAGGGGAGUGUACCCCCGCCCCAUCCCCCGUCCCGCUACCCGCUUUAAAAAAAUAAAUAUAUAAAAUAUAUAUAGGUAUAUAAUUAUAUAUAUAAUAUAUAAUUUAAUUGGUUACAAACUUAUGAUAAUAAUAUUAUUAGUUAUAUGUAUUAUAUGAUGUCUAUUAGUAUAAAUAAUAUAAUUGAUAUUAUUAAUUAUACUAAUAAUUAUAUAUGUGUACUCAUACAAAUUAUUAAUUGGUUAUACUAAAUUUACUAAUACAUUUAUACUAAAUCCCUAAUUACACUUAAUACAAUAACAUUAUUUUCAUAAAAAAAACACAACCACAAUAAUGAAUUAGUGAUUGUAUUUGUACCAAAAGUGAAAAUUUGAUUACUUUAGUUAUAUUUUUUUCAUCAUGUUGGAUUGUAUUCAAAUAAUUUUUGUUUGAUUGUUUUUAUAAGUUUCAAUUGUAAAAUUGCAAUGAAUAAUAAUUUGAUGAUGUGUUGAUAUUUUAGUACUUGAUUAUUUGCUAAAAUUUAAUCAUAAUAAAAUUAUAUAACAAAUUUUUAUUAGCUCAGCGGGAGCACCCGCCGGAGAAGCGGGGCAGGGUGGGGACGGGGCGAGGGAAGCGGGGGAUGGGGGAGGGGUCCCCCGCCCCAACCCUCUUCCCCAUCUCCCGCCCCGUUGCCAUCCCUAACCUCUACUAACUUAUUUAAGGUCAUUUUAUAUCACUAUCCAAAGAAGAAUUAAGGUCAUUUUAUAUCACUAUCCAAAGAACAAUUCUUGGGCGUUAACAUUUUUCUUACAUGCCAAGACUAUUAAUGAAAGUUGACCCAAAUCUCUCUCUCUCUUUCUCUCAAUUCUUAGGACUGAUGCCAAUUCUUACCAUUUAGAAAGAAAAAUUAGAUUGUUUAUAUAUAUGAUGAGUUCCCUCUAAGUCAUGGUUAAGAAAAAUUCUUAGUUAGACGCAGUUUUAUGAAAUGUGAAUUUCCUUUUCUUUGUCUUUAUUCGUUAGUAUUAUUGGGGUUAUUGUAUUAUGAUUGCAAUGCACAGAUACAUGGAUUUUUGACAUUUUUUUCUCAUUUUUUCUUUUUAAUUGACUCUGACUAUGUCUCAAACUCGAGACAUCAAACCUGGAGAAGACUUUUGUCCAAAAUGCUUGUAAAAAUUCAGAAGAAUAAUGUUGGACCUUAUUAUUUAAUAAUGGUGCAAUUAUGAGAGUCAUUCCUGGUUUAAUUAUCAACAUCAUGUCAUUAUUAUUUUUUUGUUUCAUAGAAAAAUAAAGUAUUCUCCGACUCGACAUUAUCAUAUUAUUUUCAAUUGGCAGCUUUAAGUGAGAAAGGCCGGUGAAAAUUUUGGGCAUUACUAGUUUAUUUAGGCCUCACGCGCUCCGUGAAGGUGCCGACGUCAUCUUCGUUUUAAUGGAAAAAUUUGAGCGCGCUUUGAUCAUAAGGAAUUCACAAUCAUCGGGCCAACAAAGAAAGCACUAAAUGGUUAAAACAAACCAUGCAAAUUUGCUCAGCACUUAAACAAUAGACUCCUAAACCGACCAUUUUACUGUCUUGCCAAAAAAGGGCAUUAAAGUAAAAACAACCCAUGCCUAACACAACUAACAAACUUCAGCACCUUCACUUCACUGCCACGUCAUCAACAACAUCUGUAAAUUUCCAAGGAAGUCCACGCACUAAAGGUGCCAUGGGGGACCUCAGGUUAGUGUUCUUAACAUCAACUCCUGUCUUUAUAUUCUUAGGAAAUAUUGAAAUUAAACAUUAUAACUAAUCCUGAUUUCCUUAUGCUGUAUUUGUACACAAUUUGGCAACUUGAUAAAAAGUUUGUUCCAAUUUAUUCCAAUUUAAUUUGUCAGCUAGUCGAAUCUAAUUUGAAUAGUAUUUAACUUUGAAAUUUGAUAAAAAGUUUGUUCAAACUUGGUUUACUAAAUAAACAAGUUAAGUUUGAACAAAAUUUCAAACUUAUUAAAAUAAUUAAAUACGUUUGAAUACUAGGGUAUUCAAUUUAAUUAGACUCGUUUGCACCCAUAAUUAAAGCAUGCACUUUUUUAUAAAUUUAGGAAUCAACAUUAUCUAUUUGAUAGCUAGCUAAUGGCCCAAAAAGUUAAUUGCCUUAAAUUCUUUUAGCAGCCAUAAAGUAUAGUUGGAGGGAUUCCCUUGAAAUUGAUUAGAUUCUUCUAUGUGACUGUGACGUAUUACUAGUCCUACCCAAAAAAAAAUGGUAUUACUAGUCCUUUUUUCUUUUUGUGGCGUGCCACCGCCGUAGGGGGCGGGGAGGGCAGUCAGUGCGAGAAUUCUAGAUGGGGUAGAAGUAGCCAAAGUUCACCUUAUUCAAAGUAAACAACCGACAAUCUCAGUUGUCGACUUUCCUGUCGAUUGCGUAUAUAUUACUAUCUUUUACCAUGACUUUAGAGGAUACCUAAUUUUGCUUGCUAUUAAAUAAUAAUUCCUGGCACCACAUAAUUCUUUCAAGAACUACCAAAACCUUCUUGAAAUCCCUCUUUUUCCUUUUAGUUCAUUUCCAAGAAACAAAUUGAACCAUCAUGGCCCCUGUCACUUCCAGUUAUGAGGUCACCUCCUCAAUCCCUCCUGCAAGGUUGUUCAAGGCCACCAUCCUUGAAGAGAAGCAUCUUCACAAGAUCUUGCCACAGGGCGUUAAGAGUGUCGAAAUCCUUGAAGGAGAUGGUGGAGUUGGCACAAUUAAGUUGACCACAUUUGUUGAAGGUAAGAUAUCAAUACAAAGUGAUUAUUUUCACACAUUUGAAGUCCUCAAAAUGUUCUUUUUUUUUUUUAACAUUUUAUUUGUGGGGGUAAGUAUGUAUGUAAGCCCUAAUAACCUUUUUUUUUUUGUUGGGUUAAAUAUUUAGGUGGCGAGCUUAAGACUGCCAAACAGAGAGUUGAUGGAAUUGACAAAGAAAAAUUUACAUACAGUUAUACUGUACUUGAAGCUGAUGGAUUUAACGAUGUAAUCGAGAAAAUCUGUUGUGUCAUCAAAUUUGAACCCUCUGCUGAUGGAGGUUCAAUCUGCAAAACCACUAAUACAUACUACCCCAAAGGUGGUGCUCAGAUCAGUGAGGAACACCUCAAGGGAGGAAAAGAGAAGGGUUUGGGAAUGGUUAAGGCUGUUGAGGCUUACCUCCACGCAAAUCCUACUGCCUACAACUAAUUAAAAUGAAUGCUACUGAAGGACUCUUCGACAUAUUUUCUUCAAGAUUGAAGUAUAAACUGAGGGUGUCUGUUUCCUUUUUUGCUUGGUUUGCUUAAGCUGUUUGGUUAAGUUAUUCGCAGCAAGAGAAUAAAAUAAUUCACUUGCUGUUUUUAGAUAUGAAUUCAUGACUGUCAGUAGUCUAUAAAUACACUUAUUGCUCACCGCUCUUUGCACCGCAAAAUCUUUUCAAGAUCCAUCAAACCCUCCUGUUCUUGAUCUUUCUCCAUUUGUGAAAAAACAAAUUAAAGCAUCAUGGCCCCGAUCACUUGUAGUGCUGAGAUGACCUCCCCAAUGCCUCCUGCAAGGUUGUUCGAGGCCGCCAUCCUUGAUGACCACCUUCUUCCCAAGAUCAUGCCACAGGCUAUUAAGAGUGUGGAAAUCCUUGAAGGAGAUGGUGGAGUUUGAACCAUUAAUUUGAGCACAUUUGGUGAAGGUUAGAUGUUAUAUUAAAUGUAGAACCCCAAAUUUAAGGAUCGAAUAAUAAUCAACGCAUGUGGGGUUAUAGAAUUGAAGGGAUAAAACAAAUACUCAAAAUAUACGUGAAAGAAAAGAAAAUAAUAAAUUCAACUUACAAUAUUAUUAAAUUUUCAAACAAUGGAAAAAAUCAUACCACAAUAAAUUCAGCUGGUUCUAAUAAUAAUCAAAGCAUACAAGGUUACAGAAUUAAAAGGAUAAAACAAACGCUCAAAAUAUAUGUGGGAGAGAAGAAAAUAAUCAAUUCAACACACAAUAUUAUUGAAAUCUCAAACAAUGAAAAAAGUCACACCAUAAUAGAAAACCUUGCUUAUUCUUCUAGAUUCUUUCUCUUGAGAGACCAACCUAAAUAAUGUCCUAUUUAUAAUCUACCAAACUUGUUAAGAAAGAAACCACUUGCAUAAGAAAUUACGAAAUAAAUUAGAAAUUCCUAAAUCACACAACUACUAAAAACAUAACUCAAAUAAAACUAAAAAAUAAAUAAAUAUUUCUAGGCUUAGUUUAAUUUGUCAACAUUGCCUCCCUUAAACCAAAUUAUUCAUUGAGAUAGGUUCAACACCAUCUCGAGCAAUAAUUUCUAUGCAAAUCUAUGUUGUAGUACAUUUGACAUGAAACUCUAACUUGUUACCAGUUAUUAAUUUCAUUUUUACACGUAACAAUGGACGCACUAUAUAUUUUGUAAAAAAUUUCUCAGCAAUUUCUUCUUGAUCAAAGUACUCAUUUAUACAAACCCAUUCGUCACCAGAAUCACCAUAUUUACCACCAAUGUAAGUGCCUAAAAUUAAAAAAUCAUAGGUUGCUUUCUCGCUAAAGUUAUCAUCACCAAAUAAUUCAAAAUAACCACUACUACAAUUAUCCAAAAUUUUCAUACUGUCAGUCAACUCUUUUGGAGUAAAAUAUUUUUCAACUCCGAUGACAUCCAUAUCUAUCAAAUCAAACAUUCUCCCAUCACUUUGAAGAGAGUCCGAACCAACAAAUUUUUCAACAACAAUUUCAUGUUCUCUUCUUUUAUCAAAUCAAAAUUUUCUUCUUCUUUUGUCAAAUUACCAUAUUAUUUUUUUCAACAAAUUCAUUACUUCUAAUUUCUCCAAACAAGGUAUGCAAAUCAAAACUAUCAAUUGAUUCAAAAUUUUCGAUAUCACCCAUAUUAUGAACAAAUCUAUCAUUUUUAAAAUCCACAAACCAAUACCAACAACUAGACUUCAGUUUGAAAGCAUAAUUUCUCUCAAUCAUGUGCAAAACAUAGUAAAUAUCCUUCCAAAAUCUCUAAAGUAUUUUAGUAUGACCAAUAAAGGUUCUAUAAAUACUUUCUGCCAUUAUUUUACGCAUCACUUGAAAGAAUAAUUGUGCCUUUUUCUUAAAAACAUGUUUUGACAACUUACUUGCAUCAACCCAACAAAGAAUAUCAUCCAAAUUGCAUUGCUUGACAUAUUUUUCCACUGUUAAAAUCCAAUUAAAAUAUGUAUGUCUAUUUGUGCUUAUAGGAGUCAAUAUGAAAAAUUUUUCACCGUCAAUUAGAUCUUUAUAAUAUUCCAUUAUUUAACAAUUUCUAUACCUGAAUAAAUUUUUUUCCUCCAUCCUGUCAUGUUUUCUUGGCCUCCCUGGUUGACUAACCAAAUUAUUGUUGUAUGUAUACCCAUGCUCGUCAAACCUCAUUCGUGUACACUCGUAAGGAGUGGUUCUGAGCUUAUUGUGAAUGCUUAGUACCAAGAAGUAGAAGAGAGAAUGCAUAAGAGAGAAUUAACUUGGCUAAAGAAUUAGGAAACAAUUGAGGGAUUUUUUAAGAAAUUAAUUCUCCAACCGCCACUUUUGGAUCUUUUCUAUCUACAACUAGUUACCAAAACACUAGCACAUAGUAAGAAAUCGGGAUAAUUUCAGAAACCUCCCUUGAGGCUUUUAAUAAUCUCAAGAAGCUCCCCUCAAUAUUUUAAAAUUACACGUACCUUCCCUAUUGGAGCAAAAGUACUCUACUACCCCUAAUAGGAUACUCAAAAGACUUUUUUUAUGGGAAAAAAGAACCUCAGAAAUCCAAGCGAAAGCAAAAAAAUCAAUUUAUUUUCUCUUUUAGCCUUUAACGCUUUUGCCUUCUACCUUUGCUCACUUUCCCAUGCCAAUCUUCCUAUAACCACUUUCCCAAUCCCCUUUCCCCAACUUUUCUCCUCUACUUCAAGACUAAUUUUUGUCCAUCAAUCCUGGCUUGUGCUUUGUUCCAUUCCCUUCCCUUCUCCUUCUUUGAUUUCCCCUACAUCGCCCUUUCUCUUUGCAAAAGUGACUAGGCUCAUCUCUCUCUUUUUUCCCCUUAUUCUAAGUGUAGUGGGUUUGAUUAUUUUGCAUCUAUUUUAUUUGGUUUUGGUUGAUUAUGGGUGAUAAAACUUGGUGAUGUCAAAUAUCAAAAGUUUGAUAGAUGGAUAUUGGGCUUUAGACAAUGAUUUGCUAGAAAAAAAUGGCUGCAAUGAGAGGAAAAGGCAAGGGGAUUUGAAUGUGGGGUUGAUUGUUGAUGAAUUGUUGUUUUGGACAAAAUUUGAGGUUGAGUUUUGUCAAAUUUGGUAGCAAGUGGCGAGAUUUGUUCAGGUUUCGGGAAAUAAAUUGGAUUGUGGUUUCUUGGGCACCCACAGUUGUUGGAAUUGGUUUUGAUUCAAAUAAAGGUGGUUACUUGAUUUUCCUAAUAGUGUUGCUUAAGAGCACACGAUCAUCAAAAUUCCUUAUUUUUAUCUUUUUUUUUUUGUAGAAAAGAUUUCAUGACUUUCGUGAUAGUCUAAUUUGGAAGAAGGCAAUCAAGGGAUGCAAUCAACAUUUAGCAAAAGCUCUUGUUCUUUUCUUUCUAUUUUUUAGGGUAAAAAGGGUAGUUUAGGGUAUUUGAAGGAAAUGAUAGUCUAUUGGGUCUAUUUUGAAGCAUAAAUAGUGAACGUAAGGGAGGUUGGUGUAAUUUCUGAAACCUAAGGGGAAUUGUCUAAAUUGUCCGAGACCUCAGAGAAGGUUUUCGAAAUUAUCCCUAAGAAAUCAAAUGCGAAACUUGAUUAGUACACACACACACGACACUGCACCACGGCACGCGUGUGUUGAGAACUGAUGUCCGUAACCAACGACAAGCAGGUUUUCAAUUUUUUUUUCCUUUCCUGGAUUCUCCAGAGAUGGUGUCAGCUUCUAUUAUUGAUGAGCAGGAGGAAAUCCACAAUAUACAGUACACAUCACCCAUAUUCUUUUUAAUUGAACAAUGUAUGAAAUUAUGGUGAUUCGAAAUUAAAUUAUAUGUUUAUUGGGCAACGAAUCCAAAAUAAGAAUUGGAAAUGUAUUGUGGCAACAAUUGUUAACUUAGGCUACAAAUGAUCAAAAUAAAUAUUUAAGAUUUAAUAUGACAUUAUGGGUUCAAAAUAUAGUUACUUGUUAUGAAACAACUAAAAGUGUGGAUGUCCAUUUGUAUUCUCAAGAGGAUCAAUUCAUAAUUCAUUGCUCCCAAGAGGAUUAAUUCAUAAUUCAUUGCUACAUUAUGUGAAGGAAUUACAUUAGAUGAACGGUUUCAAUCCAUAAGAGCUAUUCAUGUAUUGGAUGAACCGUUUCACAUGGCUAUUCAUGUUCUUGUAGUAAUAAGUAUUUAAUAGAAUUGAUGUAUGUUUAAUUUUGUAGUACCUAUAUAUAGAGGUACCUUGGCACCUCUUGGCUGUCCUUUUUGAUUAAUUUGAAUAAUAAGAAAAUCAUUCUCUAUUUCUAUACUUCUUUCUCUAAUAUUUCAAUUCUUAUUAUAGUAGUUCAUUAUUUUUUUAGUUUUACAACACGUUAUCAGCACGAGUCUCUAUUUUUGAAUAAAAAACUGAAAAUGGAGCCUAUACCUUAAAAAAAGCAAAAAAUGUGAUUCUGCUGAAAUUCUGCAUGUAUUUUUCCGGCAACUUCUAUCUACUUAUUGAGAAAUGGAUGCCAAAUAUUUGGGAUUAAAUAAUGGUGAUGAUGACAUUUGUCUCAUUGAUUGUACUACUACGCACACUAUAUUGAAAAAAAAAAUUCUUGUAUGAAAAUGGGAGAGACAAAUGUUAAUACCAUAAGUGGUAGUGCAAAAUUGAUUGAAAGUUCUGGAAGAGCCACUCUAUUUCUUCCUGAAAGGACUAAAAUUGUCGUAAAUAAUGCACUACUAUCUCUCAAGUCUUGAAGAAAUUUAUUCAGUUUUAAAGAUAUCUGCGAAAAAUGGAUAUCAUAUCGGGACAAUAAAUGAGACAAAUGGAGAAUUUUUAUUAAUCACAAAUAUCAUUUCUGAGCAGAAAUACGUAGUAGAAAAAUUACCUUCUUUUUCUUCUGGCUUAUAUUAUGCACAAAUUAGUGCAAUUGAAAUUUAUCACCUAGGAGACCAGAAUUCUACUCAUCCCAAUAAUUUUAUGAUUUGGUAUGAUUGUCUCGAAAAUCCUAGAUAUAUAAUGAUGAGGCAAAUAAUUGAGAAUUCACAUGGUCACUCAUUGAAAAAUCAAAAGAUAUUAAAAGCAAAUAAAUUCUCUUGUGUUGCUUGUUCCCACGGAAAAUUAAUUAUUAGACCAUCACCAGUAAAAGUUGGGACUGAAUCCUCUACAUUUCUAGAACGAAUUCAUGAUGAUAUAUGUGGACUUGUAGAUCCACCAUGUGGACCAUUUCGAUAUUUUAUGGUGCUAAUUAAUGCAUUAACUAGAUGAUCACAUGUAUGUUUAUUAUCUACUCGCAACUUGGCGUUUGCGAGAUUGUUUGCUCAAAUAAUUAAAUUGCGAGCACAAUUUUCAAACUAUCCAAUAAAGAAAAUUCAUCUAGAUAAUGCUGGUGAAUAUUCGUCACAUGCUUUUGACGAUUAUUGCAUGUCCAUUGGAAUAACUGUUGAACAUCCUGUAACUUAUGUUCACAUUCAAAAUGGUUUAGCCGAAUCAUUUAUUAAAUGGCUAUAAUUAAUUACUAGACCAUUGUUGAUGAGAUCUAAACUUCCUUCAUUUGCUUGGGAACAUGCUAUAUUACAUGUAGCAAUACUUGUGAGAAUUAGAUCGACAAGUUAUCAUACUUAUUUUCCCCUAUAAUUAACUUUUGUUUUUGAGUCCAAUAUUUCUCAUUUACGAAUAUUUGGUUGUUCGAUUUAUGUUCUAAUUAUACCGUCCCAACAUCGUAAAUUAGACCCGCAAAGAAGAUUGGGGAUAUAUGUUGAGUAUGAAUCACCUUUAAUUAUUAAGUAUAUGGAACCAUUGACAGGUGAUUUAUUUACUGCGAGAUUUGCAGAUUGUCAUUUUGAUGAAUCACAUUUUUCGACAUUAGGGGGAGAUAAAAAUCAACCGAAAAAGAAAAUCACUUGAAAAAUAUCUUUGAAUUUCCUCGAUUCUCAUACCAAAGAAUGUGAACUAGAAGUUCAAAAGAUUAUACAUUUGCAAAAAAUUACAAAUCAAUUACCGGACGCAUUUAAUGACUCCAGAAAAGUUACUAAAUCACAUAUUCCUAUUGCAAAUGCUCCGAUUAAAUUAAUGUCUUUGAAGGACAAAUUACAAAUGUUAACGAGUCUAAAGCGUACCUAAAGCGUGGAAGACCUCUUGGUUCCAAAGAUAAAAAUUCUCGAAAGAAAAGAGGAGUAGAUGAAUCAACAAUUAGUGACAAAAUUCAACUUCCUGAAGAGGUCGCUCCUAAAGAGCCAAUUCUUGAAGAGAAUGAAAUUAUAGAAAAUUCAUUAAAUUUUGUCAUUUCAGGAAAAAGUUAGAAUCGAAAAGAAAUAAUUAUUGAUAGUAUUUUUGCAUAUAAUAUACCACUUGAUAUUAUGGUAGAGAAUAAGGAUCACGAGCCUAGAUAGGUUGAUGAAUGUCGACGUAGAAAUAAUUGGGCAAAAUGGAAAGAUGUGAUCCAAUCUGAAUUGAACUCACUGGUUAAAAGAAAAGUUUUUGGACCUGUAGUCCAAACACCUGAAGGUGUAAAGCCAGUAGGAUAUAAAUGGAUAUUUGUGAAAAAAAAAAUGAGAAAAAUGAAAUCGUGAGGUAUAAAGCAAGACUUCUAGCCCAAGAAUUUUCACAAAGGCUUGGAUUUGAUUAUGAUUACACGUAUUCACCUGUAGUGGAUGCUAUCACAUUUAGAUAUCUUGUGAGUUUUGCAGUACAUGAAAAAUCAGAUAUGCAUCUAAUGGACGUCGUUACUGCAUAUUUAUAUGAAAAUCUUGAUAAUGAUAUUUAUAUGAGAAUCCCCGAAGGAUUCAACAUGCCUGAAGCAUACAAAUCAAAUCCUAAAGAUAUUUAUUCUAUUAAAUUACAAAGAUUUUUGUAUGGGCUUAAACAAUCUGGACGUAUGUGGUACUGCCUCAAUGAAUGUUUAACUAAAGAAGGCCAUACCAAUGAUCCAAUAUAUCCAUGUGUCUUUAUCAAGAAAAAUGGAUCAAAUUUUGUGAUAAUUGUUAUAUAUGUUGAUGAUUUAAAUCUGAUUGAAACUCUUGAAGAGAUUAGUGUUGAAUAUUUGAAGAAGAAAUUUGAGAUCAAAGAUUUUGGAAAAACAAAAUUCUGCCUUAGUUUACAAAUUAAGCAUUUGAAAAGUGAAAUUUUUGUCCACUAAACUGCUUAUACCCCGGAAGGUAUUAUAGCAGUUUUAUAUGGAUAAGGCACAUACAUUAAGUACCCCAAUGGUCAGAUCAUUAGAUCCUAAUAAGGAUCCUUUUAGACUGCGAGAGGAAGAUGAAGAGAUACUUGGUCCUAAAGUACCAUAUCCCAAUACAAUUGGUGCACUAAUAUAUCUUACUAAUUGUAGAAGACCUGAUAUAUCAUUUGCAAUAAAUUUAUUAGCAAGAUUUAGUUCCUCGCCCACAAGACGACAUUAGAAUGGUAUUAAACAUAUUUUUCGUUAUCUCCAAGGAACAAUUGAUCUUGGUUUAUUUUAUUCAAAUAAAUCUAAGCUUGAAUUGCAUGAUUAUGCUAAUGCUGGAUAUUUAUCUGACCGGUAUAAAGCAAGAUCUCAGACUGGUUAUCUAUUUAUACAUGGAGGUACAGCCAUUUCUUUGCGAUCUACAAAGCAAUCGUUAGCCGCCACUUCAUCGAAUCAUGCUGAAAUAAUAGCAAUUCAUGAGGCUAGUCGAGAAUGUGUUUGGUUAAGAUCAAUGACCCACUAUAUCCGUAAGAGUUGUGGGUUAUCCUCCGAAAAAGAAAAUCCUCCAACUAUAUUAUAUGAAGAUAAUGUAGCUUAUAUAACUUAAUUGAAAGGAGAAUAUAUUAAAGGAGAUAGAACAAAACAUAUUUCACAAAAAUUCUUUUGUACUCAUGAUUUACAAAAGAAUGGUGAAAUUUAUGUGCAACAAAUCCGAUCAGAUAAUAAUUUGACAGAUUUAUUUACCAAUGCAUUGCCAACUGUAAUAUUUGAGAAAUUGAUGAAGAAUAUUGGAAUGCGACAAUUAUAAGAUCUCAAAUGAUAUUUGCAUCAGGGGAAGAAAUCAAUACACAAAAAUAGUGUACUAUUUUUCCAUCACUAGGGUUUUCGUCCCAUUGGAUUUUUUCCUAAUAAGGUUUUAAUGAGGCAUAUUCUUUAUGUAAUGGACAUCCAAUGGGGAGUGUUAUGAAACAACUAAAAGUGUGGAUGCCCAUUUGUAUUCUCAAGAAGAUCAAUUCAUAAUUCAUUGCUCCCAAGACGAUUAAUUCAUAAUUCAUUGCUACAUUAUGUAAAGGAAUUACAUUGGAUGAACGGUUUCAAUCCAUAAGAGUUAUUCAUGUAUUGGAUGAACCAUUUCAUAUGGCUAUUUAUGUUCUUGUAGUAAUGAGUGUUUAAUAGAAUUGAUGUACGUUUAAUUUUGUAGUACCUAUAUAUAGAGGUAUCUUGGCACCUCUUUAGUGUACUUUUUGAUUAGUUGGAAUAAUAAAAAAAUCAUUCUCCAUUUCUGUACUACUUUCUCUAAUAUUUCAAUUCCAAUUAUAGCAGUUCAUUUUUUUUUUUGGGUUUACAACAUUACUCAAAGAAGAGAGUUAUUGGACUAUAUGUUUAUUGACCUCUACUAACUUAUUUAAGGUCAUUUCAUAUCACUAUCCAAAGAAAAAUUCUUGGGCGUUAACAUUUUUCUUACAUGCCAAGACUAUUAAUGAAAGUUGACCCAAAUCUCUCUCUCUCUUUCUCUCAAUUCUUAGGACUGAUGCCAAUUCUUACCAUUUAGAAAGAAAAAUUAGAUUGUUUAUAUAUAUGAUGAGUUCCCUCUAAGUCAUGGUUAAGAAAAAUUCUUAGUUUUAUGAAAUGUGAAUUUCCUUUUCGUUGUCUUUAUUCAUUAGUAUUAUUGGGGUUAUUGUAUUAUGAUUGCAAUGCACAGAUACAUGGAUUUUUGACAUUUUUUUUCUCAUUUUUUCUUUUUAAUCGACUCUGACUAUGUCUCAAACUCGAGACAUCAAACCUGGACACGACUUUUGUCCAAAAUGCUUGUAAAAAAUCAGAAGAAUAAUUUUGGACCUUAUUAUUUAAUAAUGGUACGAUUAUGAGAGUCAUUCCAGGUUAAUUAUCAAACUUGUAACUUGAAAAUAAUGUCGACAUCAUGUCAUUAUUAUUUUCUAGUUUCAUAGAAAAAUGAAGUAUUCUCCAACUCGACAUUAUCAUAUUAUUCUCAAUUGGCAGCUCAUGUGAGAAAGACAAGAAAUUCACAAUCAACUGGCCAAGAGAGUGCCAACAAAGAAAGCACUAAAUGGCUUAAACAAAGCAUGCAAAUUUGCUUAGCACUUAAACAAUAGACACCUAAAUCAACCAUGUCACUGUCUUGCCAAAAAAGGGCAUUAAAGUAAAAACAACUCAUGCCUAACACAGGUAACAAACUUCAGCACCUUCACUUCACCGCCACGUCAUCAACAACAUUUGCAAAUUUCCAAGGAAGUCCACGCACUAAAGGUGCCCAUGCCCUUAGGGGACCUCAGGUUAGUGUUCUUAACAUCAACUCCUGUCUUUAUAUUCUUAGGAAAUAUUGAAAUUAAACAUUAUCACUAAUCCUGAUUUCCUUAUGCUAUAUUUGUACACAAUUUGGCAACAAGGUUGUCCUUUUUUGGGCCAAAUUGGACAAGUAAAAAAAAGAAAAUUAAAAGGUUUAUCUGCAAACUGUAGUUCGGCCUGCCUCUUUUUUUUUUUUUUUUGGGGAUAAGAUCGUCAUGUAUCAAUAUUUCUGUACUUAGCAUUGGCUUCUUCUCGCCUGAAGAACACACGAACCACCGGAUGAAAGUGGUGAAUGAAAGUGCACUUAACCCUUUUAAUUUUUCAAAACAAUGCUUUUAGAAAAAAUAAUAAAGACUUUUUUGAAUUUAAUUUUAGAGAAGAAGAAUUUUAAACUUUUUUGAAUUUAAUCUUACAGAAGAAGAAGUUUAAAAUGUACUUUAAUUUUCACAACUGAUGAUGAGAAUAGCAAAAUGUAUACGGACGGUGACAAAAGUGCCGUCUUAUCCUUUUGCUGACGGCCCGUUUUCCAAUGAGAGGAUGCCUCUGCUUCGUAUUUUAUCCAUAUUGAUAUAUAUUCUUUUCUGUCCCCCUAACUAUUAAAUGUGAAAGGUUGCCCACCAAAUUUGACGAAACCGUUUAUCCUAAUUGAUUAUUAUCCAUAGGGCAUAACUUUAAUAUUCUUCUUCCAACCCGUCCGUCAAUGACCACUAACCACCUCUAAUCUAUUCUCAAAUUUUAAUGAAAUUGCGCAAUUAGUUUUCAUUUCUCACUUUUAUUUCAAAUUUGGUCUCAAUUUAAUGUGAAUCCCAAUAAAUAAGACCGGAGUUGAAAUCAAAGAACGUAUUUCAAUCACCAUCGGAUAAAUUCUUCAUGUCUAGUUUUGUCCUUGAGAUGCAUAGAAAAUGUAAGCUGAUCUUGCAGUCUACGAGAAAAACGAAGUCUAAGAGAAUAAUUUUGUCAAAACUUGACAAUGGAAUGAACCGGUGGUCGCUGGUUGGCAGCUGCUAGAAGUCAUAGCAGUUUUAAAACAUAAUUGCAGCAAGUAAAAGAUUAAAACUACGUUGUGUACUGUUAACGACUUACAUUGACAAAAUGGUUAAGGACAGAGUUGAAAGAUGAAUCAAACUGUUCGACAUUCGAUUCGAAUUUGACUUGGUAAAAACUUAUUCCAAUUUGAUUUGUCAGCUAGUCAAAUCUAAUUUAAAUAGUAUUUAACUUUGAAACUUGAUAAAAAGUUUGUUCAAACUCAGUUUACUAAAUAAACAAGUCAAAUUUGAACAAAAUUUCAAACUCAUUAAAAUAAUUAAAUACGUUUGAAUACUAGGAUAUUCGAUUUAAUUAAAUGCGAUUGCACCCCUAAUUAAAGCAUGUACUUUUUUUAUAAAUUUAGGAAUCAACAUUAUACAUUUAAUAGCUAGCUAGAGGGUCAAAAAGUUAAUUGCCUUAAAAUUCUUUUAGCAGCCAUAAAGUAUAGUUGGAGGGAUUCCCUUGAAAUUGAUUAGAUUCUUCUAUGUGACUAAAGAAUUUCGGGUGUGACGUAUUACUAGUCCUACCCUAAAAAAAAUGGUAUUACUAGUCCUUUUUUUCUUUUUUAGCGUGCCCCCGCCGUGGAGUGUGGGGAGGGUGGUCUGUGCGAGAAUUCUAGAUGGGGUACAAGGUGCCAAAGUUCACCUUAUUCAAAGUAAACAACCUUCCAUCUCAGAUGUUGAAUUUCCUGGCAAUUGCGUAUAUAUUACAAUCUUUUACCAUGACUUUAGAGGACAGCUAAAUUUGCUUGCUAUUAAAUAAUAUUUUCGGUAGUCUAUAAAUACUCUUGGUCCUAACUGCUUCUUGCACCACAUAAUUCUUUCAAGAACUACCAAAACCUUCUUGAAAUCCCUCUUUUUCCUUUUAGUUCAUUUCCAAGAAACAAAUUGAACCAUCAUGGCCCCUGUCACUUCCAGUUAUGAGGUCACCUGCUCAAUCCCUCCUGCAAGGUUGUUCAAGGCCACCAUCCUUGAAGAGAAGCAUCUUCACAAGAUCUUGCCACAGGGCGUUAAGAGUGUCGAAAUCCUUGAAGGAGAUGGUGGAGUUGGCACAAUUAAGUUGACCACAUUUGUUGAAGGUAAGAUAUCAAUACAAAGUGAUUAUGUUCACAAAUUUGAAGUCUUCAAAUUGCUCACUUUUUUUUUCUUUUAUUUGGGAAAAGCUAAUGACUUUUUUUUUUUUUUUUGGUUGGGUUAAAUAUUUAGGUGGCGAGCUUAAGACUGCCAAACAGAAAGUUGAUGGAAUUGACAAAGAAAAAUUUACAUACAGUUAUACUGUACUUGAAGCUGAUGGAUUUAACGAUGUAAUCGAGAAAAUCUGUUGUGUCAUCAAAUUUGAACCCUCUGCUGAUGGAGGUUCAAUCUGCAAAACCACUAAUACAUACUACCCCAAAGGUGGUGCUCAGAUCAGUGAGGAACACGUCAAGGGAGGAAAAGAGAAGGGUUUGGGAAUGGUUAAGGCUGUUGAGGCUUACCUCCACGCAAAUCCUACUGCCUACAACUAAUUAUAAUGAAUGCUACUGAAGGACUCUUCGACAUAUUUUCUUCAAGAUUGAAGUAUAAAC